rnacentral:lncRNA from 1 species
UGAUAUAAUUGCUAUGCUUAGUGUGUGACUCGUUGGUUUUUUGUAGGAUUAGGGUUCAAAACAAAAAAUGGACCGGCCCAUACAUAGUAUGAACUCAAAAUUACAGAAUUAAUAACCAACUCAUCGCUUCACAUUAUCUAGAUCUAAACAACCAGUCAAGAUAUGAUAUAUUGGUCAUAUCAUUGUAGCAACUGAAAUCUUUUUUGCAUAAACACAAAAAAAAAACCAAACCAAUCUGAUUAUGAGUUUGGGAAGCGAAAUCUAGAAUGAUGUAGAUAAAUGGAAGAAGGGUGAGAGAAAGAGAUAAAAAGAACGCCAAUGAUAUAUGAUUCCAAUAUAAUAUGUAAGGUCUAUGAAUCAUUUCAUAAAAAGCAAUGUAAUAAAGCAUCAAACUAAUUCCUCCCGAAUUAAAUGAAUAUGUUCAUAGAAAAAAAAAAUCAAGAGCCUAGAGCCAAUAAAGACUGAGAAGAUUGACUCAAGAACAGGAGCUCCAUUGUAUAAUUCAGACCUAACCAUUAAUUGAGAAGCGAUGGGAACGACGGAAAUCUGUGAAUACAGAAGAUUCUAUUAAAAACGAAUCCUAAUGAUUCAUUGAGUGGGAUGGCGGAACAAACCAGGUAUCAAUUCAUUUGUUCUGAAAGAUCGUGGGCUAACCUUACAAUUGAAAUAGAUAUUGAAAGAGUCUCCUGCUUAGACUGAUAAAUCCAAGAGAAAUUUGUAUAUCUGCUAUUCAAAGGGGAGAAAUGAGUCUGGAUCUAAUACCGGUUCAUAAAGAUUUACAUAUUGAAUAUUUGACGAUACAUUCCGUACCUUGCUAAAAAACCGAUCCUUGUUUACCAACCACACAUUGUCUAACCAAAUCCAAUUCUCUCUCGAUACGUUCCUCAAAAAAUCCGAUUUGUGCGGAUUUUUCCCCCAACUAACGAAGAGAUCUUGGCGGAAUUGCCACAUAUGAAAUUGAGCACAAUUUUGCAAAGAAAUAGCCCACUUGUUUCUCGAGAAGAGAUGGGAAACAUGCUCAAUAUCAUUUGAUUGAAUAGUUGACCCAACUCCUUGUUGUUUGAAGAAACCCUCCACUUCAAUUGGUAUUUUUUCACGAAAAGCAGACAUGAGAUAACAAAUCUACCCAAUUGGUCAAGGAAGCUUUUCUGAUGGUAUGCCUCUAGGAAUCUCUGGUACUUUCAACUUCAUGAUUGUAUUCCAGGCUGAGCACAACAUCCUUAUGCACCCAUUCCACAUGUUAGGCGUAGCUGGUGUAUUCGGCGGUUCCCUAUUCAGUGCUAUGCAUGGUUCCUUGGUAACCUCUAGUUUGAUCAGGGAAACCACAGAAAAUGAAUCUGCUAAUGCAGGUUACAGAUUCAGUCAAGAGGAAGAAACUUAUAAUAUUGUGGCUGCUCAUGGUUAUUUUGGCCUUUAAAAACAUUGCUUUUAAUGACUUGAAAUUAGAGUAAAGAUCUUCAGAAACUCAAGACAGUAAUGCUGCACAAAUCCUGGCCACUCCAUUCUAGUUUCACAGUCCUUGCAUUUCAGUUAUUUUUCCCUAGUCCUUCAUCCUUAACAAGUGUAAAUUGCUAGGGGGUUGAUGCCAAUCAUUGGUGCAAGAUUGCAUUGUACUUCAGAUUACAUCUCAUACCAUACCAUUUAAGAUAUGCUUAAUCAUAUUAGCUUUUACUUUGGAGCCUUUAUACAAGUAAAUUUAUCAGUCAUCAUGGCCAAUGAUUUACCUUUCUUUUCUUCUUUUUUCUUUUUUUCUCUUUUUAUUUUUAAAAUCACAAAUAGUGAUUUAAUUGCAUCAUGAAUGAAAAAUGCAUGAAGGAUGAGCUAUCCUCCAAAGAGGAACAAGUCUACAGCAGAAAUGAGCCCCCCAAAUGAAGUCUUUGAAAAAAAGCACAAUAAAAGGAUCUAAGAGACAGCUUAAGGAUGCAUGAAUUCCCCUACAAAAAUAUUUAAAUUAGAAGCUACACACUUCACCAAGAAUCUGCUAACUAGUUGGCCAAGAGUAGAAUCCACAAAAUGGAAUACACCUAUCCUUAACAUCAACAAAUCCAAUUUCUAAGGACCUUUUUCUUUGAGAUGCACAAGAUAAAAUUAUGGCUGAAUCACCCUCCCACCAGGUUGUUGCUUAGGCCCAAAGAAUUUGGCUCUGUGAAGCCUUCCAAUAGAGCUAUCCCCUCUACCUCCAUAGCUAAUCCCCCUCAGUAGGUGAUGUAAAAGCUCUAACCACAACUUAUACCUAUUCGUUCUGAAUUCCCAAAGAGCACCCAUCAAAAUUAAAUUUUGCAUUGCCUAGCCAGGAAGGGGGAGGGAGGGGAGGACCCACUCAAAACACACUAUUUCGUCUUUGGUAAAAGCGCUAACCACAACUGAUACCUAUCCAUUCUGGAUUCCCCAAAAAACACCCAUAAAAAAGGAUAUAACUUCCUAAUGUUACUGUGCUGGCGGUUAGAGGGUCCUCCUUAGAUUGUUUUAUCAACUCUUUGCAAGGGUGCAUCACUUUCCCUAAGAAACCUGCACAACCACUUGCCUCAGAGCGCUAUAUAUCUCAAGACAAUCUUACCAAGACCUAUUACCCUUUUGCUCCAAACUAAAAUUAGUAGCUAUUUUGACAUGACAAAGGAUCUAACUAAUACAGUUUAAAUUAUUUGAAGAAUGAUAUGCAUGCCUUUGCAGUACGGUCAUGGGUCUGCAAAAUGAUUUUUACUAACAAAUGCUUGAUAUUUUCAUGUGUUCUUUUUUAAUAUUCUGUCUACUCCAUUCCAUGUUCAGGUGAAGAGCUAUUGGUUGAACUCUGAUGGUGCCGAUGUGGUUUUCCAUAUGAUAGAUAACUUUCUUCUCUAGUCCUCUACAAGUUAGGUCUCCAGUUCCUUAUUGGCCAGGGGUUAGAUUGCUCGUUCCUUACGUACAUUAUACUCAAAGAUUCUGCACUUUAUGUUUUGACAUCAACUUGGAGAUAUGAGGAAUUUCUUGAACUGUUUCUACCUUUAUCCUUGUAUCUUUUCUUGUUUUCAUAUCUUAUGUUUGUGUAUAGUAGCUUUCCCUGUAAUCAUGUUUUUAUGUAUUUCUCUAUCAAGUAUAAAGAGUAUGAUUUCAUUACAAAGGGUACUGGUGCUUGUAUGUAAGAAUUCAUUUCUGGUAUUUUUGUUGGCAAACAUAGUGAUACCACACUAGCCAAAAAAAGCCCAAUUGUGGACUCUGGUGCUUUAGGCGUUCUCUAACACUACACUAAAUGGAUGCACUGAACAAAUUAUCUUCAAAACUGGUUUGAUUCACUAGUUUUGGAUUAUGAGACAAUAAAAUUCUUUGAGCACAUGUCACAUGCCAUUAAGUUUUUAACAGUUUUCAGUCUUUCAUUCCCCUCCCCUCCUUUUAUUUUUUACAAACAAUCUUUUUCAACUUUUACAUGGUACAUAUGUUGGUCCUUUUGCUGACUCAGAGCUUUGAGAUUUACUUUAAAGACCAGCAUGUCUCAAAUUUUAAAAAUACUUGCAAGAAACUCUCUAUAGUAGAAUGGAAUGCUUAUUCUCUAAUUCUUUUAAGAUAAAUUUGUUUAUCUGAUUCAUUGUUCAUAUGAAGCCAGCCACUCCUUGUAUUUUUGCUCAAGUAGGUAUAUCUUUAUCCGUUCAUGUUGUGUCUUAACCCUCUAGCCAAUCAUGGAAUAUUGAUUCUAGUGCUUCUAAUCAUAUGACCGGGUCAUCAUCUUUUUUCUUAUCAUAAACCACUUGUUCAGGUAUAGAUAAGAGUUAAGUUUGAUUAUGGUUCUUUGUCUUCCAUUGUUGAUAGAAGUCUUAUUUCAGUUUCUUAGUGCUUACCACUUAAAAUUUUUGUUCCAUGUUCCUGAUAUUGAAAUCAGCCAUUUACUUGUCAGUUGUAUUACAAAACUCUUGAUUAUGGUGUGAUAUUCUUCGCAUCUCACUGUGUUUUUCAGGACCUAGGGACAAGAUGGAUGAUUGACAGUGGUAAAGAGAAGGAUGGGUUUUAUCUCAUGGGUUUCUAAUCAUCCCCUCUUGAAAUAAACAUGUCAAUCCAAUUCUCAGAGUGAUAUUUCUCCAACUAAGUAGUUGCUUAGGGUGUCACCAAUAUUUAGGCCACCCAUCAUUUUUGUUCUUAGAUAAUGUUCUCCUUUAUAGCGUCCAAAUGAAUGUUUUUAUUCUACACUGUGAGUUGUGCGAACUUGAAACUAGAAUUUUAUUUACCCACUUUGAAUAGAUGUAUGGAGCUCUUUUCCAAUGUUCAUUAUGAUGUAAGGGCCGCUUUGGAUGUUUAGUAUUUACCUCGUCAUCAAUUGUUUGUUACUGUUGUAGACUGAUAUUCUCAAGCAUUGCGGAUCUGUUCAUUAGAUGAGAAGAAUGAAGUGUUUUUUUUAAACGCUCUGCAAUAUAGUCCUUCAUCGAUUUGGUGCUAAAAUGAAAAUUCUUCAUUCUGACAGUGUUAGGAGUGUAUAUAUUGUGAUCCUGCUUCAUUUUUUUUUUCAAGGGUAUUGUCCAUUGGACCACAUUAGUUGGCAAUACCUAAUCAAGUGCAUUUUUGAAUUCAGCCAUUUGCUAGACGCUGAUCAAGCUCUUCUAUUCUUUAUGACUGUUCUAAAGUGUUAUUAAGGGGGAAUGUUUCUUACUACGGCCUGUCUCACCAACAGAGUGCAUCUUAUCUCUUAAACUUCAAAGGUCAUUUCAAGAUGUUAUGUUCAUCUCUCCAUUUUUUUCUUUUUAAAUUUCUGUUAAGAGCUUUUGGUCAGCACAUUUCACAUCUAUGGGCAUCUGACAAUAAAAUACUUGAUUCCAACGCAUUGAAAUGUUUGCUUAUUGGUUGUCCUCCAACUCAGAUGGAGUAAAUGAUUCUUAGUGAGGUACUAGGACCCUGUUUUGCACUUCUUUUUUGACUGCCUAAAAGCUCUUUCUGGCUGACAACAUAUUCAAUAACGUAUUCAGUUGUAAACAAAUGCCUUUUAAAAUAGGAUACACUUGAGGUUAAAUCUGGGAAUGAUUACAUGAAGACAUUUUAUAAUAUAAAAUUUUACACAUUGAAUAAAAACCUCUUCUUUGAACAGAUCUUUUUAAGAAGUUCCUCCCAAGAAGUUAUGACUUCACUAAAUCCUAAGAAAGAUUUAUGUUGAUGGGUCUAACUUUUUCGAAUCUGUGCCCUUCUUGGGGAGACAAUGAACUAAAAGAAUAUUAUGCAGGAUUUAAAAUUUCCAGCACUAUGAUGUAUGAAAAAAGAAGAACGUAACCCUUAACAAUCACCACAACAUUCCUAGGCAAUCACACCUAGGGUUUCCUAAACUAUCACACUUAGGAUGAAGGCAAUCACACCCCGAAAAGAAGUAUGAUAGAUUCUGAAACUUUUGUGAAAGUUCUAGUUCUCCACUUUGAAAGACUAUAGAAGUAUAUAUAAACUUUUAUGAUGUUCCCUAAUUGGAUAAUUUUCAAUUCCUUAUAUUUCCUUACAAGAAUAGGAAAAGAUAUAGUAAAGAAAUAUUGUUUAAAAACUAAAGAAAUAGAAAGUUCCCUAAUUGGAUAAUUUUCAAUUCCUUAUAUUUCCUUACAAGAAUAGGAAAAGAUAUAGUAAAGAAAUAUUGUUUAAAAACUAAAGAAAUAGAAAAUUUUCUAAUAUAUAAGAAGGCUAAAAGAAAUAGAAACUUGCUAAAAAAUCAAUCAAUAAGGCAGGAAUUUAACAAAUUAAAGUAGGAAAUUACCAAACUAAUUAUGGGAAGUCCUAGAGGAACUUCAGUCACCGAUAGUGUCCCAAAUAAUGGCUUGGGCAUUGGUACUAUCCUUUCCCUUUCUAUUGUUAGGUUUUAAAGGAUAAUUCCAACGUUGUUUCCCAUUAUACUGAAAUUUUGUUGCCUAUAUCAGUUCUUGAUUUGUGUAUAUUUUCCAUGGUUUUAAAAACUGGACCGGACUGGCCUGUCCGACCACCGGCCGGUCACGAUUCCGGUCCGGUCCGGACAAUUGGACCAGAAUGGUAUUGAAUCGGGGUUGGACUGCUUGAACCGGUGGUCCAACUGGUAAACCAAAUGAACUAUCCAGUUCUCUCCGAACUGGCCGGUUUAAUUAAAAUUAAUUUUUUCCUCCCAUUGUCGUUGUCCCUCCCUGGCAAGGCCCCCGCGUUGGAAAAGCUUCAAUCCCGUCCUUCCACGACCCUACUGGAACCCCCGCCCCCACCCCCACCCCCACCGCCGCUGAAAAAGCUUCCAUUUUUUGCCCGUAAGAACACCCCCCAUGCGACUCCCAGGAACCCCCGCCCACACCUCGUGCCAGAAAAGCCAACCUCCCUCUCCCCCGUCCCCCCAAACCCCCCACCUCGUGCUGCUGUUGCUGGAGGAAAACCCCUCCUCCUCCCAGCAACCCCCACUGGAAAAAAUAUCCCAUUUUUGCCCAACCCUCUCAUAGUCAUCCCUUCUUCCAGAUUUGUUUAUUUUUUAAUCAUUUUUUAUCUCAUCUCUAUAUUAUUUAUUUAUUUUUAUAUUUAUUAUUUUUUUACAUGUUUAAAACUUGUGAUUUUAAUUUAAAUUAAUAAAAAAUUACAAUUUUAAAUCAAUUUUAAAAUAAGUUUUUUUAUUUAAAAAUGAAUUUUAAAAUUUUAAAUUUUAAAUUAAAAUUAUGAUUUUAAUUUUAAUUUUAAAUUUGAAACUAAUUUUUUGAUUUUCAAAUAAAAUUUUAAUUUUUAAAUAAGGUAUAAAUUAUUAUUUUUAUUUUUAUAAUUAUUUUAAAUUUUAUUAAUUUAUAAAUUUAUAAAUUAUAUAUUUAUGACGUCACCAGUUCGACCGUGGUUUGACCGCCGGUCCGACUAGUGAACCGUAAACCAGUAACUUUUCCGGUUUAAUGACCGAUCUAGUUCUGAAAACAUUGAUAUUUUCUUAACGUGUCUGAAGUGACUAAUGAAAAAGGAAAUAGGGAAUUUCCAACAUUUACUCUUUGGAUAAAGUGGUACCAUGGCUGCUUAUGUCUCUUGGCAAGAAUACUAUUCAUCACCUGGUAACCCAUUAUUUCUCCUGUUUGUAAAACUGUUCUUGCUCUUUUUGUUGAUGAUUUAAUCUUCCAACUAUUGUCCAUAAUGGGGUCUUAGGUUGCUCUCAGUGUCUUAUCUGAAAUUAUGUUUUUGAGCAUUGCCAGCUUUUGUGCUUUUACAUCCCUAUAGUGAAAUGUGUAUUCCUUUGGAUGUCAAAGAAGCCCUAUCUAAACCUGAGUGGAAGAAUUACAUGUUUAAGGAAAUAAGAGCCUUAAAGAAGAAUCAAGUGUGAGAGCUUGUUGAUUUGUGCCAAGACGGACAAUGUUAUUGGGGGUGUAGAAAGGCAUAAGGCCAAGUAGGCUAAUGGUUCUCCUCAAACUUGAGGUAUCAAUUUUGAGAGGACAUAAGCCUUAGUAACAAGAAUCAAGUAUAUUCAUGUAAUCCUGUCUCUUCCGCAAAUCUAGAUUGGUGCCUUUGAAGAAUUGAAGGAAUAAAGAGAAUUAAUUUUUUUCCUUGAUUUCAAUCUGUAUAGAACCCCAUAUUCAUACAAUUAUUCCUAGCACCAUAAAAUAGAAACCUUUCUAUCCUAAUUACAUCAUAUCCCCUUGAUUAUGGGAUUGUCCAAUUCUUUUCUUAAUUAUAGAAUUAUACAACUAUAACCAUCCUAAUUUGGCUAAUUUGCUAGUCUACCUACAGAUUACACUCUUCCACACUCCUCCUCAAGUUGGUAAAUAGAUGUUUUCCAUUCCUAACUUUGACACACUUGUUUGAAACGUUGUACUUCUUAAACCUUUGUUGAGUAUAUCUAUAAGUUGGUGGUGAGUAGACAAAUAAGGAGUAUGGAUUAGUCCACUAUCUAGUUUCUCUUUAAUAAAAUACUUAUCUAUCUCUAUGUGUUUUAUUUGAUCGUGUUGUAUUGGAUUAUAUGCAAUCUUGAUGGCAGAUUUGUUGUCGUAGUAAAGUUUCAUUGGGCCUACCCAUUUAAUCUUUAAGUCUUCCAAAAUGAUCUUCAACCAUAGUAGCUCACAAACUCCCUGAACCAUUGCGUGAAAUUCCACUUCUGCAUUGUAUUUAGCCACCAAACACUGUUUUUUACUUCUCUAUGCCACCAAAUUCCCACUAAGAAAGGUGCAAUACCCAGUGGUUGAUUUUCUGUCAACUAUAGAUCUAAUAUAAUUUGCAUUUGUGUAUGCUUCAAGUAUAGGCCCUGAGCUUCAUUUAAAUAGGAUGUCCUUUCCUAGAGGCUCUUUAAGAUAUUGUAACACUAGGUUAGCAACUUGCAAAUGACCAUUUUUUGGACUGUGCAUGAACUAACUAACCACACUCACAACAUAUGCUAUAUUCGGCCUUGUGUGAAAGAGAUAAAUGUGUCUCCCUACAAGAUGUCAAUACAUCUCUCUAUCUAUGACCACAUCUUCUUCAACCUCUCCAAGCUUAUGAUUAGGAUUUAUUGGUGUGCUUACUGACCUACAUGCCUACUUCCCUGUUUCUUUGAGGUCUGUUAUAUAUUUCUGCUGAAAAAUAAAAAUUCUCUAAUUAGAAUGUGCAACUUCAAUUCCUUGGAAGUACUUUAACCUUCCUAACUCUUUAAUCUCAAAAUCCUUGGUCAAGCACUGCCUUAAACUUUGUCUCUCCUUUUCAUCAUUCCCUAUCAUGAUGAUAUCGUCUACAUAUACCAGAAUAUUCGUAACUCCCCUUGAAUUUGAAUGUUUGAUGAACAACGUAUGAUCUCCUUGACUUUAUUUAUACCCCACAUUUUUCAUCACUUUGGCAGACCUUCCAAACCAUGCCCUUAGAGGUUGUUCAUUUCAUAUAAAGCUUUCUUCAGUUUACAUACCUUUUUAGUGGUUAAGCCACUUCCAAAUCUAGGAGGGGUUUCUAUAUAAAUUUUGUCUUUCAAGUCUCCUUGCAGAAACACAUUUUUUAUGUCGAACUGUUGCAAUGAUAACAUAAUUUUGACCACGUUCAUCUUGGCAACUAGAGCAAAUGUCUCUAGAUAAUCUAUACCAUCUGUGUAAGUAUAUCCUUUAGUCACCAAUCUUGCCUUGUACCUCUCUAAUGACCCAUAUGCUCUAUACACUUAAACGUAUAAACUCACUUACAUCCCAUUGGCUUUUUUCAUAGGCAAAUCCACUAACUCCCAAGUUUUAUUCUUCUCCAAGGCCUUCAUUUUUGCAUUCAUGGCUUGCUUCCAAUUUUCUUUAGAUAAAGCCUGGAAUAGAGUGGUAGAAAGGUGAAUAUUGUUCAAACUCCUAAGAGAACUCUUAUAGGAUUGUGAAAACUUUUCAAAUGCACAACAUGGGAAAGUGGGUGCAAAUGACGUUUAAUGCAUUCCCUAGUUCUCUUCCUAAUGGUAAUAGGGAGGUUUUGAUCUAUGGUUUUUUCAGACUGAAGUUUUGAUUCAGUUUGUAAGGGAGGACAAGAAAUGGUUACCUCAUUUCUAGAAGUCGGUUUACAUUCUUGAACUUGUAUAAGUCUCGGGAUUGUAGCUUUCUUCCUUGAGAAGAAUUUGCUAGUCAUUCUAUCCUUAGGAGCAACCACCACGGGCUCUCUAGGUUGUUAAAUAGUGGGUUUAGGAGAUGAUACAGAUAACUCAAUAGCAAAGGAGACUCCCCCUGAAGAUGAGGAGUGGUAAAAUAAGACUCACUUUUGUUGAAAGUAACAUUGGCUGAGACAAAAAAUUUAUAUCCCUUUUGAGUUGAAGAAAUCCCACAAAAAUACAUUUCAUCACUCUUGGAUCCAAUUUUUUGAUUGAGAACAUGAACAAAGGAUACACACCCAAAUAUCUUAAGAAUGAGAUGGUUUGUGGUUCUCAUAUUAGGAUAAAACGUUGAGAGCAUUUCCAAGGGACUUUUAAGACCUAAGACUUUGGAAGGUGAGUGGGUUAUGAGAUGUAUGGCGGUUAGGAUGGCUUCUUCCCAAUAAGAUUUAAGCACAUUAUUUUGGAACAAGAAAGCUCUUGUUGCAUCAGGUAGGUGACCAUUUUUCCUCUUAACAACUCCAUUUUGUUGUGGGGUGUUUACACAUGAUGACUCAUAAAUUAUUCAUUCUGGUUGAAAGUAUGGAGUUAGGACUUGAUUAAAAUAAUCUUUAGUGUUGUCAGACCGAAAUAUUGAAAAACCGUAGUCCAGUAGGGUAACACCUAGAGGGGGGUGAAUGAGUGUAUUUUAAAAAUUAUAAUAUAAGAAUUGAAAUAUGAUAAAUUAUUUUAAUUCUAGGAGAUAUCAAGGAUAAACAAAAUAAUCAAAAUUAAACACAAGAGCAAAGGGGACAAGAAUUUUUAUGUGGAAAACCCUCAUACUAAUUGUGGAGAUAAAAAACCACGGGGUCUAAGACCUCAAAUCUAAAUCCAUUAUAUGAGAUCAAGUCACACAGAAUUACCCGACAAUUUUACCCUAAGGCUCCAGAACCCAUAACUUGAUCCACGUCCGCAAUACAACAAUCUCCAAUUGCUCCAGUGAAUUCUCCUCAGCCUCAUUGAAAGGAUGCAGGUCUUCCAACAACCCUAAAUUCAACGCUUUGAAUCCAUCUCGAGAGAUUGGGAAUGGUAAGGCAAGUUAGGCUAAACCUCUCAAUGAGUGUCUAACCCUAAAAGAGUUAAAAAAAAGGGGUUUAUAUAGGCUUCUAGGCCCUAGAAGAUCGGUAUAUGGAAUUUUCCAAGUACAAUAUUUGUGAAUUUCCAAAAAAUAUUCUGUCAUAUUCUGGUAGAUACGAGAUGAGCAUUUGAGUGCACUUAUCCACUGCUCAAGCGCACUUAUCCACCGUUUGAGUGCACUUACCCAUCACUCAAGUGCCACGGGUCUUGAGCGUUGGAUAAGCGCUUGAGCCAUUCCAACGCUUAAUUGCUGCUUCCAUAGCUCAAGCAUCCUUGUUUUUUUUUUUUUCGAACCAAUAAAUUAGCAUUUUAGUUCAAAAAGAAUAUCAAUCUUCCUUAACCCUUUAAAUACUUAACUUGUUACGAACCAAAUCUUUUUAGACUUACUUGUGACUUUCUGGUUGAGCGAAUAAUAGCCUUGAAUCUUCAACAGAGAGUAAGUCAUUAUUUAAAAAGUUUCCUAAGUCAGAAAAUAAUUGAAACAAAAUUGCUAACUUAUAAUAUAGACUCAUUGUCCUAACAAUCUUGAUUUUGAUACCAAACUAGUUUUUAAUCAUGUUAUAGAAAUGGAGGAGAACUACACUCACAUCAGAUUUGUUUUUAAGCGGGAAGAUCCAAGAGACCUUAGUACAAUCAUUAAUGAAAAACCGAAACCAAUGUGCUCCAAAUAUAUUAGGGAUAGUAGAAAGACCCUAAAUAUCACUAUGAAUUAGAUGAAAAAGAUUUGAAUUUUUUUUAUUGCUAUAGUUGGAAAGGUUGUUUGCUUGUGUUUGCCCAGUUCACAUACAUCACAAUGAAAGCUCUUAAUAUCUAAUCUCCUAAAUAGAGAAGAAAACAAGACCUUAAGGGUUCUAAAUGACAGAUGUCCAAGUUUACGAUGAUGAGGCUAGAUUUUCUUUAUUGAAAAAAUGAUGCUAAAAAAGAAAUGAUAAGGAUGAUUUGCUUGGUGUCUCAAGGUGGUAUAGCUCGUUCCGUUCCUUAGCAAGUCUAAUCAUCUUCCCCUAAUCUUGGUUUUGAAAUACACCAGUAAGGUAAAAAAUCACAUUGCAACUCAAAUCUUGUGUAAGCUUUUAUAUAGAGAUAAGAUUAGUGGACAAAUUUAGAACAUGAAACACAUUUCUAAGUGUAAGUGUAGGACUAAUUUGAACAUCUCCUAUACCUGCAACGGUGGUUAAUGAACGAUCAACCAUGACUAUUUUCCUACUACUUGGACAUGGAUUAUAGUUGUUAAAUUUGUGUGAUGAAUGAGUCACAUGUGAUCCAUAACACCUGAAUCUAUAACCUAUGAGUUGAUAAAGGUUUCAUCUGAGGCUUUUAAUCCAAUGGAAAUAGGAAAUUUACCUAAAAGUGUUAGUGAGCAGGUACUUGAAGGUUUCUUAGGAGUUCCUAAAAAAGUUCUCAGUUUUUCAAUCUCAUUUGGGUUGAAUUCGCCUUGUUCCAAGAAUCUCUCUUCAAUUAGUUGUAUAAAAGACAAGUGUGCUUGCCCAUUAUCCAUUUGUUGCCCUCCAUUGUAACCCUACACUUUGCUAGAUGUUGAUGGCUUGUCAUGAAGUUUCCAACAUCGCUCCUAUAUAUGUCUUGCUUUUUGGCAGUAAGCGAAUUAUAAGUUAUCCUUGUUAUCACGGUGUGGGACCCUUAACCGAUCAACCCUUUUGUGAUCAAUAGUGCUUGCCUUAUGAUCAUUUCCCUUGUUAGCAACCAUAGUCGAGCCUUCCAAAUUCUAAGGUUUGAGCAUGACACUUCUCCUACUUUCUUCUACUCUGAAAAUAGAGAUAUUAUCAUUCAAAGUUUGGAGCUCUUUGCUAAGUAUUUAACUCUAACUUGGUGAAACUCAGCAUUGAGACCAACUAAAAAAAAUCAUAAACUUGAUCUUUUUCGAUAUAAUUCUUUACGAUUACUGCAUCUUCAAGACAUUUUGUUUCAAUGUGUGAUCAAGUUCUUGACAUAGAUUUUUCAGCAUAUUGACAUAUUCUAUGACUGUCUUGUUUCCUUAUAUUGUUGCUACUAUCUUGACUUUUAUUCCCUAUACUUGGGCUAUAUCUAAUGCCUUUGAGUAUAUCUGGUGAACAACAUCCUAGAUAUCUUUAGCAGUGGUCAGGAACAUACAUGUCACUGAUUUUAAGUGUUAUUAAGUUUGACGACCAUGCCAUAGUCAUUGAGUCUUACUUGUGCUUGGCAUCAAACCUAUGAUCUCUCUUUGGUUCAGUUCCCAAGAGAUGACUUAAUUUUCCUUUUUCCUUUAGAAAGGUACAAACAAAUUAUGACCAUUUCAAAUAAUUCUUUCAUUAAGUUUUUAUGCCGCUUGAAUAUUUUGCAAUUCUCCUGUGAAAUGAUUAGUUAUCACUUCCUUGAAUUGAGUGGUGAUAGUGGGAAUUUUUAACACCUCUGACAAUUUUUAUUUUUUUUUGAAAUAUAUAAAAACAAACCUUAAAGGUUUAAAUAACACACUGAUUUGUGUUACAACCCUAGCUGGUGGUGAUUUGUGGUAGCAGUGAUCUUUGUUAGAGAUCCUAAGGUCUUGAUCUCUUGUUGUAUUGAUGGUGCAAGGAUGAAGUUGGUCUUUGGGGUCUAUUGUUACUUUCGCUAUGUGUUUGCGAUCUAUAUCUGCAACAAUUGUCGUGAUGAUGGGAGUGUGAGGCAAAGGAAGGGUGAUGAUAUGAGAUGUGUUUGCAAUGAUGGCCCAAAGAUGGCAAUGCAAGGUGGAGACGAAGGUGGUAAUGUGAUCUUUGUUUGUAGUAGUGCGCCAAUAGCGGUGCAAGGCGAAGAUGAAGGUGACGAUGUGAUCUCUAUUUGCAGCAAUGGUGCGAUGACAGUGCAAGGUGGAGAUGAAGGCUGGACGAUCUGUGUUCACAACAAUGGCGCAGUUAAGACAAAAGGGAAAUGCUUAAAGGUCGACAUUGAACUUUGAACUCAGUGAUGAAACCCAAAAAACAGAACUUCUCUUCUUGAUUAGAUUUACGAGCCUAAGGGUUUGAUACCAUGAAGAAUCUGAAGACUUUAAGGAAUAAAGAGAAUGAAUUUUUUUCCUUGAUUUCAAUCUCUACAAAAUCUCAUAUUUAUUCGAAUAUUCCUAGCACCAAAACAUAGAAUCCUUUCUAACCUUGUCAGAUGCCUUGCACCAAGGCCCCCUUGGUGUGGCUGCGCCUAAGGUCCCAUGCCUCACCUUGAGUCACGUACACCGCCCCCCCUUCUUAAAGAGCAUUUUGAGCCGUUUUAGAAGUUUUUGGAGAAGACAUCAUCCAUGCUUGAGGAGGAAUAAUAGACCUAUUUAAUAAUUACAAAAAAUCCAUAAUUUUCCUAGAUAGCCUCUCCUUGCUGUGCAUGCACUCAAUGCAUGCUUGCGGCCCAUGCAUGUGCACGGUCCAUGCGUGCACGCCCCCCGCAUGGCCAUGCCUGUCCCUGUGAGCACGGUUCCUUGCUUCACCCGCCCAAGUGCCGAAGUCCGCCACCUUGCUCCUUCCCUUAGGGCUUCCCUCAUGGAUGCAAGGUGCCCACCUAUGAGACUCUUAGUGGCCUUAGUGUCCAAGUGAGGGCAUGGGUGCUGACAGUAGUCCUAUAUAUAUGUUGUAAUCCUAAACUUCAAAAAUAUAGAGGAACAAUUACUUAGAAAAGGCUGGCGAGAGAAUGUUCACUUAGAAAAGGUUGAACAUGUGAAAGGGGGAAUGAGGAUGCAACCGGACAUACAUGUAAUUAAUUGGUGAGAUGGUUUCUCACUGACUGAAUUGAUGGAGCAGGAUUCAUUCUGCUAACUGCAAACUGAGAGAACAUGUAUUACCUGUCCAGGAUUGUGAUUUAGACAAUUCCUCUUUUUGCAUUGAUACAUGUUCAGGGAGGCCUGGUGCAAACAAGUGAAUACUAAACAAACUUAAGAAACUGACUUGGUCAGCUUUGAGUACAAAAUUUUGCUGUUAUUUUUUUCUUGGAUAUGAGGGUAACAUGUGGAUAGGCAAUCAGGGGUGCCGAAGAAUUCCCUUAAGUUUCAUAUGCCUUAAACAAAUAGUAAAGAAAAACUCAACUUCUAUCAUACACCUUUGAAUACAGAAAUACUGAAUAAUGAUAAUUGAAAAAAAAAUAAAAAUAUUGGUGCAAACAGUAAGCAAAAAGCUUUAUGAACAACAUGAUUUUGAAGCUGCACUUAGACGUGUCAAGCUUUAUCCAUGUGCAAUGUUUUGCAUAUUCUCGCUAGUAUGGAUUUCUUUGUGAUAUACUUUUCUUCUGUCUAUUUCAAAUCUUUCAGGUACAUCUGGGUUGAAGGUGGUGUGCAUAAAGGUGGGCUAAUCAUCAAGAGGAAGAAUAGCCAUUGAUGUCUUUGUCGUCCUUGUCAUCUUUCUUUUCAGAGCUGCAUAAUUAAAAAUGCCAGUGAGCUGGUAGUAACAAUCUAUGCUUUCUUCACUAUUGCAAACUAGUUUCAGAUUACCAUUCAGUUUCCUGAAUAUCUUUGAUGUUAACGACAUCUUCAUUGGAAUCUUUUUCUUCUAAUGGAAUGCCCGAUUUCUCUUUUAGCAGACAUGAUAGGCUUGUGCAGAACUGAUGCUCAUGGUAAUACAACAGUUAGAAAAUUUCGGUUAAUAAAAAGAAUCAGCUAGAGGAAGGGGAAUGAUACCUCUUUGUACACACCAAGCUCGCCUGCAGAUUUUGAUAUUUCUACAACACAAUGAGUGGGAGCCACCUCAAUCACCUGAUAUUUGACACAUUCAGUGGUAAGAGUCUGAUAUCUUGUAUCGCUGUGAGAGAAAAUUACAACUAAAUUACCUCUGCUGAUAGGUUGAAAUAUGAUCGAGAACAUCUAGUCAUCUUCUGUUGUGGAUGCAUCUUCAUCUGAUGUGUUCAAGAGGGUUAUUAGCUUUGCAGGAAUGUGGGAGAAUCCCUCUGAAAAAUCAGGAUCAUAAGUAGAUUGUACCUUAGAGUUCUUCCUUUCAACUGAGAGGCUCACAUCCUUUGCAGCGGCCUCAAUUUUCUUUAUAGUUUCAUCAAUUGUGUGCUUGGAUCCAAACCUUGCUUUCUGCUUGUUGUCAUCCUGCAUUGGAGAAGGGGCUCAUUUAAAAACUUAGAAUUGGAGAACAUGAGUUCGAAUCAAGGAGAACCUGGAGCUUCUGAUCUUUAGGCUUACCUUCUCUUCAAAAAGACCUGACAAAUCGAGGUCAUGUGACAUUGCUAUUAGUUGGAAAGCAUUAAUGAAACUUGAGUGGGGUACCUUUGCUUCGGCGUUAUUUUCCUGCAUAGAAUUUCAGCCCGUUAAGUAAAGUUUAUCAAACCUUCUAUCCAUCUAUGUCAUUAGUUAUUACCUCAAUCAAAUUGAAAGCAGCAUGAACAUCAUCUAGGUUGAUUUUGUCAUCAAAUUCAAUUCCAGAAGCAGGUUCGUAGUCAAUCUGAAACCACUCAUCUUCAACAAUCUCUGCUAUUGAUAUUCGCUGCAAUGAGAAAACGAAGAAAUCACUAUCUUGUUCAUCUCAAUCUUAAAUUUUGCUUAAGGUACAACAUUUUGGAGCUCUACCCGUCUAGGGUUGGGCUCAAGGAUCCUGGAGAUUAGCUUUGUUUGGCUUGGUGUGAACCACUCUGGACAAGUGUACUCUGCUUUUGUUAUCUGUAAACAGAGAGACUUAUCAGAUGCAAGCUGUUUAUCAUCUGGAACUGGGAUCCUUAUUCUUAGGAGCAUACCUUCUUAUACAAGCUCAUCAAAUUGCGAUCAUCAAAUGGAAGAUAACCAGCAAGUAACUCAAAAAGGAUUACUCCACAAGACCAAAUAUCUGCAGCUGCUCCAUCGUAGCCCCUAUUUGCAAGCAGCUGUUCAGCAGAGACAUGAAGCAUCAGCCAUGGGAUUGAAGGAAAUUCAGGUUCGUUAUUCAUCUGUCUGUUUCUAGAUAUCCUGUUUCCUCAAUAAAUUUAGACAAACUAGAAGACUUAGUCAGAAAGUUGUGCCUUACCUCUGGUGCUACAUAGCAUGGUGAACCGCAUGCUGUGGAUAACACAUCUCCAGGCUGUUAAUUCAUCAGAUUUUCAGCCAAGAAUCCAGGGAAAUUGUUAGCUAUUGGGGGAAAAAAAAAUGGAGUACUUUUAGUGCAUAGGAAUUUUAAGGUUGUUCCAACCUUGCGCAAUGCACUGAGUCCAAAAUCCGAGACUUUUACAUUUCCUUUGCUGUCCAAAAGCAAGUUCUCUGGCUGCAUAUUAGAUGCUAAGAUUCAAUUUCUGCAUGAUAUGGUCUUAGAGAGAUGAUAAAUAGAGAAUUGUAUAUCAUUCUUACCUUUAGAUCUCUAUGAGAAACCCCUCUGCCAUGGCAGUAGUCCACUGCAUCAAUCAACUGCUGGAAAUGUUUUCUAGCAUCCUGUUCAUCUAGCUUCUUGACGUAAGACUGGAGAGGAAAAAAAAUCAAGCGAGCCAAUUAGAAUUUUCCUUGUAAAAGCUACUCCAAUCCCCCUUUUUUGGUUCUUAGAUGCUGUUGCAGGAACCUUACCAUCUUGUCUGAGAGCUGCCCUCCUGAUACAUAUUCCAUUACUAUGUAAAUCUUUGUCUUGGUGCCAAUGACCUGCAGUUGGAGUUGAAUACCAAUUCAGAUGAAAUCGACGCAUGACUCACACCAAAUCUCAACCUGAAAAUUACCUCAUGUAUCCUAACAAUGUUGGGAUGAUGCAGAAGCUUCAUCGUUCUUAUCUCUCUCUGUACCUGAAAUUCAAGCUUAGAAUGUUAGUUAAGGUUUAUCUCCUUCUCUUUCUCUUAUAGGAAGAAAAAUCAACAGAAAGAAAAGAAUAUAGGAUCGAUAACUCACCUGAAAGAUGAGAUUGUUCUCCAUGACCAUGUGCUUGUCGAUGAUCUUGAUGGCAACAUACUGGCCAUUCUCGGUGUUCACUGCCAACUUAACCUUGGCAAAAGUACCUUCUCCGAUCGUCCUACUCAGCUGGUACUUCCCUAUGUUAUUAGCCACUCCCAUUUCUGCAGAUGAUCGGAUGGCCCUUCUUAAUUCCACCUUCCUCCUUCCUUCUUUCCCUCAACUACCAACAACAACAACAACAAAAACAACUCCCUCUCUUCCUCCUACGCUCCUUGCAGAUGCUCUUUGUAUCCUCCCUGGUCUAUCUCUUUGCUGAAGUUGGAACAGAUGGGAUUUAUUUUUCGGGUUUUUUUGUGCUGCUUCCUCUCACUUCCCAUAUCUCUGGUUCUCAUUUCUCGAAGAGAAAAAGCGAUAUGUAUGAUUGAGAGAUUCACAUUUUCUGGGUCUGAACUUUUUUUAGAGGUUCGGAUGAGUCCAUCUGCAUGGAUGGAAAGGAGGGUGACUAGUUGGCUAGUUGUUGAGUUUGGAGAACCCAGACUUUGGUUUGAAUGGAAGGUGGUUCUUGUCCUUCAUAUUUAUAGAUUAGUCUUAAGCCUGGCUGUGAUACCCUCACUCGUUGUUUCCUCCACGAUCCCCAUUUGCCCAAUGCUGGAUCACCACGUGGCAUGAUAGAGAAAUCUUAAUUUUGAUACGGAUUUAUAACUCGUAUAUACAAACAAUUAACUACUCUCAUGCUGCCAUGUACGUUUCAAAACACCGACCACUCUUUUUUGAUGGGGUUCUAUUCAAAUUCUUAGUUGUAGAAACAUAUCUUUGAAUUUUUUUUUUAUGAAUUUGUGGACUUAAAACUCAAAAAGGAAUGUGCAGAAUUUUACCAGGUGUACUUAAAAAAAAUUCAAGGGUCCCCUGGCAAAGAGGGUUGAGACUUGAGAAUGGGAAGAUCAUAGAUUGAGGCCCCUAUCCCCACAUGUCAAAAAAUGAGUCCAGUGGAAUAUCAUUAUCAACAUUUUAAUCAGGAAUUAAUGUAUGAAAAAAACAGAAGAAAAGAAAAAUGUUAAAUGUGAGGGUGGUUUACCCACGUCUACCACACCGACCCUUCCCCACUAUUUAUUGUCACAAUUUGAACGCACAGGUUGAAAAAAUAUCUGAAUUGAAACACGUGUUCUUUCUCUAAAGCUAUUUAUUUAUACCCUUUUUGGUUGCUGUGGUGCCAUUAUUAUUGCCUCCUCUCCCUUGGCCCAAAGGCCUUUUUUCUUGGAAUGAAUGUUUUUUGGUUUUUUUUUCUCCUUCAAAUGAAUCAUCGUCCCAGUGGCUUACAGUUUUUACAUGUUCUUUUAAUAGCUAAGAAAGAGGUUCAAAACAUUGAUAAUUUUUUUAGUCCUAUUUUUAAAAUUGUCAAAAAUGGUGGUAUGCGCAUUAUUGUAUAUAAGAAAAUCAUAUCAAAUUUGAAACCUAAAAGCUCGUUUAGGAAAUAUUUUUUAAUAUAGUUUCUAUUCUUUAAAAUAAAAGGCAGUUUUUUUUUUUUUUUUUUUUUGAGAUUUUGUUCUAAAAAUGGUUGUUUUUAUAAAUAAAUUUUAAGUAUUUUUUUAUAAAGUAUUCUAAAAAAUAAUUCAAAAUAUGAAAAAUAUUUUAGAAACUUUGAAUUAUAGAUAGUAAAUGGACAAUAAAUCGUUUUUUAUAUUUGGGUUUUUAAAUAAAAUUUUAUUCAUAAAAAUAAUAAGGCACUGUUAUUAAAAUUUGCUGUGAAAAACUAUUUUAUAAGAAGUAUUUUCAAACUAAUAACUAUUUUGGAAAGCUAUCAAACAAUACAAAUUUUAAGCUUUUCACGGACAUGAUUAAGCAUGGAUGAAGGGAUGAGGAAAUAAGAAACCGGAAGAUUAAAAAGAAAAAGAAGAAUAGCCAAAAAGCCAAAAAGCUAGAUUGUGGUAUUCACAUCCUCACCACCAACUUUAGUGCAGGACGAGUGCCAUAUUUUGCAAUGUGAACAACUCUCCCGUGAUUGUACUGUUCUGUUGCUUUGCUCAUUUUGGAUUUGGGAUUGGGGGUGGUUGUGUGGUAGGUUGAGGAUGGCAUAUGAGUUAGAUACGGAGCCCAUCACCUACCCCAAGCUCCAAUAACAUUUUGACCAUGGGAGAAAUGCACAUUUACCACAUGGGCACUUGUUUGAAUGAUAAAUUUUUUUAAAAAAAACCGUCUUUAGACUUGAGUGUACCCCACCUUUUAAUGCUAAUUAUCACAUUCUAUACUCCCUUCACCAAACCUUAUUUGAACUCUAGUUGUGACUUGUCAGGGUGGAAUUGUGUUGGGCAAAAUCUUUUUUGUUCUAUGGAAGCUAUUAUUUGGGGUAUAAAGGGCUUUUCCUUUAUGAUUGAUCAAAGGUUUAUUUUUAUUUAUUUUUUAAAUGAAACAAAAUUCCAAUUUAAAUGGAUUCUUAUGAUUUUCUAGAAGCUCUUUGAAAUAGAAGGUAUAUUUGUUGAACCUAUUUUUGAGUGAUUUUGGGAGCAUUAAAAAGCUUUCCAAUAUUUAAAAGUGGUUUUUUUUUAAAUAAAAAAUUAAAUUAAAAAUUAGGUGUUUAAUGAAAUUUGAAAAUUAUAAAAAGAUUCUUGGGUUGAUAUCUUGUAGAUAUUUGUUUCAAAAAUAGGAUUAAAAAAAAAAGUAAAAUUAAAAUAAAAAGUGCACCUGUUUUGUUGGAGACUGGAUUUUUUUUAUUAUUUUUCUCUUCACUUUUUACAUGUUAUUGCUCGAUCUAUUGAAGGUGGCUUAAAGUAGUGAGCAAAAAUGAUGAAAGUGAAGUGGAUGCAAAUCAAUAUUUUUGGUGGGGAUGGGGCGUGGUGUUUUCCAUUAUUUAGAUUUUAUUAAACAUGACAAUGAUUAUACAAUGGAUCCACAUUUUUAUCAAUAAUUCUAGCAUAAAGUAUGAGGGACAUACAUAACAUAUGUUCAUGCCAACUCAAAACUCCAUUAUUAUUUAUAAGUUCACGAUAGGGCUUGUUUGAUAAUAUUCCAAAACUUUCAAGAAUAAAAUUAUGUUUUCAAACUCAAAUAUAAAAAAUGGGUUUUUCUUUUCUUAGAUUUUUAAAAUGUAUUAUCUUCUUAUGUAUAAUGUAAAAGUUUCAAAAUAUUCUUUAAAUUUCCGAAUUUUUUUUUUUUAAAAAAAAACAUCUUAAUUUUCUUCUAAAAAAAUAUUUUUUUAUAACCAAUGCUGAAAAUACUAUUUUCAAUCUAAAAAUUAUUAUAUUUAUUUUUUAAGUUAAAAAAUUGUUUUGCUUUGUAUUCUUUAAAAUAGAAAAUUAUUUUAAAGACAUCCUACUUUUUAAAUUUAAAAACAUUAUAAGCAUUGAUGGGAGAAGAAUUCUGAAAUAAAAUUAUCGAGUUGAAAUAUAUUUUUACAUUUAAAAUUUUUUUUCCUUUCCUUUCUUAUCCUAUAUAUUUUCUUUUUCUUCUGUCCUUGAUACAAAAUCCAUCACCAUUACAUCCACCUCACUCUCGACAAUUCAACCAACAUUUCAAACAACUUGUCCAAUUGGGUUACGGAGAAUGAUGGAGAAAGUGGAAAUAGUUGUAGAAGGUUUUAAUGUGAUAUAAUUUGAUUAUAAUAUUAUAAUAUUAAUAAAAUUAAAAAUUCUAUUUUGAUUUAUUAAAAAGGUUAUUUCAUAAUUAAUAGAACUCUUACAAUAUCCAUAUUAUAUAUUUUUUUAAAAAAAAUUGUAAUUUGUCAACUUUUGGAUAAAGCAAAAAAUAAAAAGGUUUGAUACUAGGAAUUAUUCCCUCUCAAGAUUUUGAGUGAUUUGACCACAUGGAAAUGGAGAACCAAGAGUCAAUCUUGGGUAGCUGAGAAGGUCCCAUUUUUAUGGCUAUAUUUUGUGAAGAGGAGACUGGAACACCCCCCAUAAAUGUGGGAAAAAAACAGUUCCAACUCUCAAGUUGGUUUUUGUAGUGCACAAAUUCAUUUGAGAGACUGAGACGAUCCCAUUUGCCCGAUUAAUGGGCCCACUCAUUUACUUAUCUAAAAAAUGUGACACAUCAUCUUCCACGGUAUGGCUGUUCUGACCAAGAGACCUUUCUCUGUGGGGCCCAAAGUAAUCAACACCAAGUUUAUAACACCAAGCCUAUGGCUUUUCAUAUCAUACGUCAACUUCUAAGAUUAUUGAAAUUUUGGUUUAUUAAUAUAUAUAUAUUUUUUACUAAGUUUAUUUGUCAUAUUUAGAUACCAUUAUUUUAAUAAGACAUUUUAGAAAAUUUUAAAAUUUACAAAAAGAACAGUGCUAGAGAGAGUUUUAUGGUUUGCUUGGCAGCAUAUUUUUAAAAAUUAGUUUUUGAUGGGAGUUCUAUUUUGUUUUCAAAAACAAAUUUCUCUUUGACAAUCCAAUUUUGAAAAACAGCUUUUUUGGCCUGUUCUAAUGAAACUUUGCUUCUAUGCUUGAUUGGAGAUCUCAACAUAUUUUUGCUACUUAUUUAUGUAUAUUUUAAAAAACCAAUAUAUUAAUAGAAAACAGAAACCUUGGGGGUGGGUGAAACGCAUCAAUGGCAGUAUAUUUUAGAAGUAGCCCAUAUUCUAAGUCUUGGAAGAAGUGGGAAAAUUGUUUUAAAACUUGUCAAAAUAAAAAUAAAAAUAUGAAGAACUAAUCAGCUUGAAGAUCCGUGUUAGAAGGUUCUGACAGCUGACAAGUAAAUGUUUAUGAAUUUUCAACAUGCCAUUAAUUUAUGGUUUGUUUUGUUCUCAAGUUGGCAUCAUGCUGUUCAUUUUUUUAGUCCCACCAAGCUGGAAUGACAGUGAAUGAGAAAACAAGUCCAUGUGCUACCUUCAAUAGGCAUUACAAACCAUCUUUACCAAUUUUAAAAGCGUACAAACUAAGACAAGAGUGAAGCUUUAAUUCAUAAAUUUUCUUAGUUGAUUAAUCGAAGGAAUGUAAAAUAUCUAUGCAUUGUUUGCUAGAAUAUUUUAAAGGGUUAAAAUAACUAUCAAAUAAACAAAUAAAAAAAAUUAAUUUUCCUUUUAAUUUUACGAACAUUUUUAUCCAUGUAUAUUUUAUUUUCUUCCAAAAACAAAUCUUUGCACUUAUUUUAUUCAUUUCAUCCUAUACUAUAUUUAUAUCUUUGAUUUACCUUUUUUUAAUCUUUAUUUUUCUUUUUUGAACAAUCCAUUUUUGUUUUCAUUGGAGAUUUUUAUUUAGAUUAAAUUUUAUUUAUUACAAAGUUAACAAAGUUUAAUUUCUGUGUUCACUUAAAUUAGAUUAAAGUUAAGUUUGAUUUACAAAUAAUUUAAUUAGGGUUAAGUUUUCAUUUCAUUUAUAAAGAACUUAAUUAUAAUUAUCUAAAUUGUAUUAUUGUUAAGUUUUAUUUAAAAGAAUUUAUUUUUCAACGGUCCAUUAUUGUUUUCAUUGAAGAUUUUUAUUUAGAUUAAAUUUUAUUUAUUACAAAGUUAACAAAGUUUAAUUUCUAUGUUCACUUAAAUUACAUUGAAGUUAAGUUUGAUUUGCAAAGAACUUAAUUAGGUUACGUUUUUAAUCAUAAUGGUAAUUUGGAUUAUACUAUGAUUAAGUUUUAUUUAUAAAUAAUUUAAUUAGGGUUAAGUUUUCAUUUCAUCUAUAAAGAACUUAAUUAUAAUUAUCUAAAUUGUAUUAUUGUUAAGUUUUAUUUAAAAGAACUUAAUUAAAAUUAAGUUUCCAUUUUAUUUUAUUUUUAAAAAAAUAAAAUUUGAUGAACUUUGUUCUCAUCACAUUUUAGAAAUUCAUGUGAAACUGAAAAAAAAUAAAAUAAAAUAAAAAAUCCAACAAAUAAAUUACAAAAGAAAAGAAAAGGAAACCACAAAAAAUACCUAACCUUAAUCCAAUUUGCAAAAAACUUCAAUCAAAAUCCCACCACAAAAAACUUAAACCAAAACCCAACAUAAAGCACCAACCAAAAUUUCACCACAAAAAUCCUUAACAAAAAUUUCAACACAUAUGUGAAAAAAAAAAAAACAAUAAAAAAAAAUCCCAAUUAAAAACAACAUAAAAAAAACCAACAAAAAAUAGUAACAAAGAACAAUAAUCAAAACCCUAACAAAAAACGACUAUACAAAAUCUCAAUAAAAAAACAACUCAAAAAAUCCAAAUAAAAAACCAAUACAAAAGCUCUAACAAAAAAUAAAGAAAUAAAUUAAAGAUCCUAGAGAUGAAAAAAUGAUAAGAAGAUUGUGAAUGAUUUUUAUUCAUUAAUCUAUACUAUAGGUGUGAACUUCAUUUAAAAAUUAUCCCCAAGUCGAAGACAUGAAAAGAAUAAAAGUAUAGACAUAAGAAUUAGUCAUUAGAAAUGGAGAAAUGAGAGAAAAAUGAGUAGAAAAUGGGAGGAGAUGUCAUUUUUGGGGGGAAAAAAAAAAGGAUAAUAAUAUUCAAAAUCUUUUAACAAAUUAUCUCUAUUUUGAAAGCUAAAAAUAAUCUUUUAGAAGAUUAAACAACAUUUAAGAGUCAAACUAUAAUUCCAUAAUUUCUAACAUGGUCUAAGUUAUUUUCUCAAUUGCUAUUCGCAACACUAUUUUUACUAAUACAACAUUUUACACUCUUAAACUACCCUCCCUUAUUCCUUCCCUCAUCUCUCUCCUUUCUUCUUCCCAACCUCACGUUCCAAUUGCACCCCUUUUUUAUUUAUUUUUUUCCCAACCCCCAACCCCCACCCCACAUUUUAACAUUCUUUUUCUUUUAUUUUUAUCUUCCUUUUCAUCUCUACUCACCCAAUCCCCCACCCUACGUAAACUUUGUUUUUUUUUCUUUUCAUUUCUUUUAUUUUUUCACACUCAAUUGUUUUUCAUAUUCUUCUUAUAUUUUAAAACAAAAUCAUUUCUUUAAAUAAUAAAUUAUAAAAUGAUUUUUUCACCAAAAGUAUAUUAUGUAAAAUGAUUUUAUUAUAUUCAAUGUUUUAAUGUGAAAUUCAUAACUCAAUUUUUUUAAAUAAAAUUAUUAUCAAAAUUUUAAAAUAAACAAUAUUUAAUUGAAAUGGUUUUUUAAAAAAUAUAUUUUUUUAUUGUUUUCAAUAUGAUUUUUUUUGUAACCCAAACAAAAAUAUUGCAUAUAACUAGAGAUUGAUUAAGAAUAUGAGUAAUGUAAUAAUUAUUUGUGUAUGCGAGGUAAAGACACAUAAAACAAAGUAUGUAAUCAAGAGCCUAAAAAAAGGUUAAAACAUAGUGGCACUUAAAUCCUACAUAUGUUCAAAAGUUAAUAAAUAUAAUCAACUAAAUAUCUUCUCAAUGUGUUGAAUCAUGAACUCAAUCAAGGUUUAUAUAAUUUACUGUAGUUGCUCCAAAUUGUUUAUAUAUAUAUAUUUCUUUAUAAAAAAAAUAAAAAUUAUAAAUCUUACUUGAAAAUUGUCAUCAGAUGAUUGAAUUUCGUCAUUCAUUGUAUUUCGUAUGUGAUUGACAACCUUAAUCAACUAGAAUUUAGGUUUAAUAUGUUGAAAAGAGGUUAGAGAGAGUUCUUUAUUAAAAAUGAUAUAUAUGAAGAAAAAAAAUAUGACAAAAAGUGUUAUUUUUAGCAAAAGGGAUGUUGCGAAUAACAAUCCCGUUAUUUUUUAUUAAAUAUUUAAAAAAAAAUAUCAAUAUCAUCCUUAUAUAGUUGUUGAAUUACCAAUUUUCACAAGUUUAUAGGCAAACAACCCCAUUUAAGCUUAUACAAUAAAUUAAGGAAAUAAAUAUGUGAUGAAGGUGGAACACAUAACCACUUACCAAUGAGGUUGUGAUACUAUAUAUGUUCAACAAUCAAUUUUUCUAAAAACUCAAUAAUAGUUAAUAUUAAAAUAUUAUUUGUAAAAGUAAAAUUAAUAGUAAUAAUUGAAAUAAUAAUAUUUUUUCUAUUUCUUUUACAACUAGAAAUAGAAAUCACAAUUGAUAUAUUAUGGUUGCUCUUAGAUUAAAUUUUAUGUUUGAAAACUAUAUUUUAAAAAUGUUUAUAUUAAAAGAAAGGAUAAUUAUGAUAUUAAAAAAAAUAAACAUAAACUUGUUCACCGGAUUACAUUUGAGGAAAUCAUGGGUUUCCUUUUUUAUUUGAAAAAAAUGAAUAAAUCACGUUAAAAAGUAUAAGAUUCAAGUUUGAUAAUUCUAUUAGAACAUUUUAAAAGGCUUCAAAAGCCGCUUUAACAUUGAAGAAGCUUUUCUAAAUGAAGUUAUAUAACAUAGAAUUGAGUAUACAUUGAUGUAUGGUUCCAUAUUAUUGAUAUUAUUGUAUAUUCAUAAAAUAAUUCGUUUUCCUUUCUUUUGCUUUUGUUUUAUUGCUUGUUUUUUUUUUUUUUUUUUUUUAAAUUUAUUCACCCAAAAAAAAAAAAAUCUAAAAUCGUAAAAGCUAAGAAAGGAGGAGAAAAUCGAUCUUUGUCCCACUUGAAGGUCCAAGUCAAUUAAUCUAAUCUAUAUGGAAAGGAAUACUCCUUGGGAGAUAUUAUUCAAAUUGAUUCCUCCAUUGGAAAGCAUUGAGUUCCUUUUGCUGCAAAGGGUUCGUGCAAGAACUUGAUAGGUUAUUGCAUCUUUGAAGGUUAGCUGAAAUGCAUGCUCCUCGUGUGCUAGUAGUUGUUAUAUCAUUGCGUGGAUUUUUAUUUUUUAUUUUUUAUUUUUAAAUAAAGUUGGAAAAAAAAAAAAUGAAAUGGAUAGGCCAAGAAAUUUGAUUGGAUGCGAGAUUGCCCUUCUUGUUGACAAUUAAUCACCUCAUGUUAGAUCAAAUUACAGCUUAGCACAGAAGGGUCUUAAUCAAUUCAUAAUUUUGGGUAGAAAAGUGUCCUCAUACCUUUUGCUGAUCGACUUUUAAACCUUUUUAAAAAAUUUAACUUAUUAUAAUUUCUAUGAUAAACUAAAUUAAUAGCAAAAGUGGCCAUUCUGGAUGUAACUUGUCUCUAAUGAGGAGAGAGGUGAUGAUGAAAAGUACCAUGGCCUACCUUCAUCAUUUUUUUUUUCUUGAUUUUUAUCAUUGUAUGUGUGGUAUCUUUUUAUCAUUCUAAUGUGUGAUAAAAAGAUUUUAGAUAAUUGUGUUUAAUAAUUAUUUAAAAGAUAAAUUUUAUUUGUGAAAUAUGUUUAUAGGAAUGUUAAUUAACAAAUUUGAAACUAAUAAUGAAUUAAUGUAUUUAUGUUAAAUCUGUGAAUGAAAUUAACCCGUUUUACAAAUUAUGAGAUGAUAACACAUCUCCUAAUUGCCUAAGGUGUUUAGAAUACAUAAUUUUUCUUAAUUAAAUAUAUACUAAGUUGAUAGCUGAGAAAAACCAUUUAUUAUCAUAAUAUUAUAAUAAAAUUUCAAGUUGAAUGGAAUAAGAACUUAAAACAAAAAAGAAAGACAAAACCGGAAACUAUACUUAUAGAUGUAAAAAUUGAUGCUUACCAUCCAUACGUGAAAGAAUUAUGACAAGAUUAUAAGAAAUGCAAAACAAAAAAGGGAAAGAAAAAAUAGAAGGCAAAGACUCAUUUAACUAACUCAUAGAAAAUAAUGUGGAAUUAUAUGUCAUCAUUUUCGUUUUCUAUAAUUAAACUAUAUAUAUAGAAUCAUGUAAAUAUAAGGAAUUCUCUUGUAUGGUAAAUAGCCCUAAAUAGCUAUUUUCAUCAUUUGAAAUAAUUGAAAGACAUAUACGAUAGCUAUUUUGUUUUAACAAUAUAUUUUGUUUUCAAGUGGUCAUUGACAUAAAAAAAAAAAUGUGGAAGAAAGGUAACACAAAAAUUAAUGGGAAAAAAGUAAUGCAGGUAGAGUUAAACUUGUUAAUAAAAUAAAAAGUAUUUGGACCCAUAGUUCAAAUGCUUGAAGAUGUUAAAUCUAUUGCAUAUAAAUGAACUUGAAGUCUUAACGCCUAAAAAUGUAAAAACUGUUAGAUAUCAACAGUUUAUACAAAAGUAUGAUUUGAGAUAAAUAAAAAAUUAUAACAUAAGGUUUUUUAUAGAGGCCUUACAUCAACUCCCAUAAUGAUCUAAUAGUCUCUAGAGGACUUAAUCUAUACUUUAUGAUGUAGCUAUAAUAUAUUUAUAGAAAUCCAUAGAUAUGUUAAAAUCCUUGAAUGCAUGAAACAAUGAAGUUCUUGAAGAAUUUAAAAUACCCUAAAGCAAAUAUUUUCCUGAAGGAUUUAAAUUUUUUUAAGCAAAUGACUCCUUGAAUGAUUAAAAUGUCUAAAACAAUGAUUGAAAAUUUCAUAUUGAUCACAUUCUACAUCAAGUCAUAAUAAUAUAUUUGAUCAAAUUAGGUCAUUGUGUGGAUUAAAGUAGAGAUAUGUAAUAACUACAAUCUUGUUGGAACUCUUAAGGAGUUUAUAAGAACAAUUAAAUAUCAAACAAAGUAAUUGGAAAUAAAGGAUAUUGGAAGAUCAUAAUUCUAACUUGACUUGCAAAUCCGAUGUUUUACAAGUGAUGUGUUUAUCCAUCAACUGACAUACAUAGAACAAGUUUUGACUCGCUUUCACACGAGCAAAUCGCAUUCACUAAAUUCUCCUAUGGUUGUUUGUUCACUUAAGGACUCAUUUCAUCAUAAUGAAGGGAAGCUUGAUAAAAAAGUAUCAUAUUUCAAUGUAACUGGUACAUUGAUGUAUCUAAAGAACUGUAUAUGACCAAAUAUAAUUUUUUUCUUUUUUGUCAAGUAAUUUGCAAGUUAUAGUUCGACGCUAACUCAAUAACGUUGGAACUAGCUUGUCAUACUCUUGUAAUCACUUAUAUGGGAUUAUUUUAUGCAAAAGAAACACAAUCAAAGUUACUUGGAUAUGUAGAUAUUAAUUAACUUGUAGAUCCUCACGAGAUUAAAUAACAAACAAGAUACGUGUUUACAUAUUUACUACAAUGUCAUGGUGAUCAAGCAAACAAUGAUAGUUAUUUCUUUAAAUCAUUCAAAAAUACCUACAAUUCAUUAUAUAUAUAUAAGUUGUAAAUGUAUAUAAUUGAGAUCUAUAGUUCAACAAAUUUGAGAAUUAGGUAGACUAUCUUCCAUUAAAGAUAAUUUGAUAUUAUUAUAUGAAGAUAAUGUUGCAUAUAUUAUACAAAUUUAAAGAAUGAUAUAUUAAGGGUAAUGAAAUUAAACAUAUAUCACCAAAGUUCUUUUAUACUUAUGAGCUCCAAAAGAGCAAUAAAAUUAAUUUUCAACAAGUAAAAUUAAAUAAUAAUUUAACAAACAUGCAAAGCAUUGUUUGGUGUAAUAGUCAAGAAACUCAUAUAAUUUUGGAAUUUACUUUAUUUUAAUUUCUUCUAAAAAAUUCUCUCUAUUUUCUUACUUACAAGACAUCCCCAUUUUCAUAUUCAACUUUUUAAAUAUCCAUAUAACAUUCACAAUUGUUAGAAAAGUAUUAAUUAUAGUCAUUAUGAUUGUAACUUUUUGAAUUUCUUCUCUCAAUUAUUCUCUAUAUUUUCUUUACUUUCAUAAUAUCAAUUCUGUUUUUAGAACAAAUUUUCAAAAUACUAUUUUCAAUUUAAAAUUUGUCAAAUUAAUUUUUAAAGUUGAAAAGAAAUUCUAUUGUAAAGAACAAAACCUACUUUUAAAAAUAAUUUCCAGUUAGGUCUUUUUUUUUUUUUUGGAAAAAUGUUUUAUUAAGAAAGUUAAGCAUAAAGUAAAAAUAAAAAAAUAGAAAGCCAAAUGGAGGUAGAGGUUGUGUUUGAAGCAAAAGUGAGAAUUUAUCCUUUUUAUUUGAAUGUUUUAAAAUUUAAACUUCCUGAAUGUAUAGUUGUCGGUUAAAAGUAACUAAGUUUCUAAGUCUUGGAAGGAGGAGGAAAAUUGUUUUAAAAUUUUAAUUUUUCAAAAUAAAAAAAUAAAUAAAAAUAUACGAAGAACUAAAAGUAAAUGUUUAUCAAUUUUCAACGUGCCAUUAAUUUAUGGUUUGUUUUGUUCUCAAGUUGGCAUCAUAUUUAUUUAAUUUUUAGUCCUGCCAAGUUGGAAUGACGGUGAAUGAAAUAACAAAUAUUUUAAAAUCCAAAAAUAUUUAUAGAAGAUCUUGUUUUUAAGGGUCAAACGUCUCAUAGUUUCCAACAUGGGAAGGUCUUGUUUUUUAUUAAAUAAAAUGUGAAAGAAAAUUUUUAUUUAAUUAAAAAAUUUAAAAAUAUCAAAAUUAUCCUUAUAAGUAAUAUUGAACUAUAAUUUCUAAAAAAUAUAAAACUAAUAUUGAAAAUAUAAAAAUAUAGGACUAUAAUUUCUAGCAAUCCAACUAUUAGAAGUAGAAAGUGAAAAAAAAAAAAAAAAAAGUUAUCUCUGCCUCACUUGUGUAAGAACUUAGAACGCUAUUCCACCCUUUGAAGGUUAGCUGGAAAACAUGCUCCUCGUGUGCUCCUAGUUGUUGUUAUGUGAUUGGUUGGAUGAUUUUUUUAUUUUAAAUGAAGUUGGAAAAAAAUAAAAAAAAAUUGCAAGAAAUGGAUAGGCCGAGAAAUUUGAUUGGAUGAAUGAUUGUUCUUGUUGACUCUCAAUAACCUCAUGCUAGACUGAAUCGUAUUUUAGUACAAGAGGGUCUUAAUCAAUUAAUAUUUUUGAAUAGAAAAAGUGUGCUGACAGCUCUUAUUCAUUGACUUGUAAAGCUUUUUAAAAUUUGUCACUAAAUAUAUAUUUUUAAGAUAAACCAAAUUAAUAGGCAAAAUAAUUCAUUCUAGAUUCUAGAUACAGCUUGCUUCUAAUGAGUAAUGAGGAGAGCGUAAUGAUGAAAUGGCCCAUGACCCACCUUCAUCUUUAGUUUUUUUUUUUCUUGCUUUUUAUCAUUCUAACAUGUGGUUGCCAUUAUUAUUAUUAUUAUUAUUAUUCCUUUUAAUUUCUUAAUCUUUCUUAUCUCAUAUCUCACUUUCUAGUUUUUAGAUUAUUGUUUCUUAAUCUAUCUUUUUGUAACCUUAUCCACAUUUGAUUGCAAGUUGUUUAAAUUUCUUAAUUAGAUGAAAUUAUUGAGAUGAAGUAGACCCAAAUGAAAUGAAUAUGAAAUAAUUAAAUCACUUCUUAUGAAAUACAUUUAUUUGACAUUUAAUAAAAUAAUAUUGAGUAAAAGUAAACCAAUUGAAUUAGAUGUUAAUGCUAUAUUUUAAGUUUAUAACAAGUUGAUCAUAUGUUUUAUUUAUCAUAUAUACUUUAAUAUAAAAAAAUAAUAUAAUUCUUAGAGUUGAAGGUAAUGUCAAUAUUUAAAAAAUUAGAUUGACAUCACAUACUUAGAUUAAUAUAUCAAAAAAAGAGGUGGUCAUGUGGUUCGACCAAAAGCUCUUAUACCAAACGUUAUGGGAGGGUAAAUUUUGUUAAUUUUAUUUUAUAUUUUUCUUCAACUUGGAACAGUAUAUCACUAUUAUUAUUAUUAUUAUUAUUAUUAUUAUUAUUAUUUUGGUCCCAUCCCUUUGGACUGAUAGUGAAUAAGAAACCCCAAUCCAUGUGGUAGUUUGAAGAAUAUUCACAAAUUUCUAGAAACCAUGUCACCAGGUUAUAAAGAACUGGUUGAUGAGAAGAGUGUUUAGCAAGAUGAGCUUUGAGAUUCCCAAUUUACUUCCUUCAUCAAUUCGUUAUAUUACCUGUCUUGGAAAAAUAAAAAAUAAAAAAAGUCACUUUUAUUUAAAUAUGUGGAGGUCAGUGCAUGUUGGUAUGGGGCUCCCUCCAAUGUUAUUGGAUAUUCUCUCUUCUUAUUUUUUUUCUGCAUCAGAAAAACAUUUUAAAAAAUAAUAAAAAUAUGGAAAUAAAAACUUUGUAAUUCAUGGUCCCCAAUUAAUUAAUGCAACCUCCAGUCCAACCUAUAUGAAAUAACGUUAAAGGAGGAGUUUCUCUAAACUUUUUUGAAUUCUUCAAAAAAAAAAAAAUAGAAAAUAUUAUUUAAUGUAUAUUAAAAAAAUUAUUUCGAAAACCAAUUUUUAAAAUCAAUCCACAUGUAAUAUAAGUGAAAAAUUAGGAGAAAUCAUAUGUAACCUUUUGAAGGAUAGGUGAAACACAUGGUUACCUAUAGGAGUAGUUGUAGUUGUUGGUUGUUACAUAAUUGAGUGGAUAAAUACUUUAUAUUAAAAAAGAAAAGGAAAGAAAUAAAAAUAAAUUAAUGGGUAAAAUGUGCUAAUAUAAUAUAAAGAUACAAAAUAUUCAAACAUUUCAGAUAUCUUCUUGCAUGAUUUUCUCAUAUUGGGAUUUUAAAUAAGAUUGUUUUUCUCUUUUUGAUGGGGUUUCCACAUAAAAGGGAAAUCUAGAUUUUGACUUUGUUGUGUAGUCUAUAAAAUAAUUAAGUGCACCCAUUGUGCCACAUGUGGAUUCUCCUCAAUUCAAAGUUAAUAAUUUCAAAAGAAAAAAAAAUUGUAUAAUAUUCUUAUCAAUUUGCUUUUAAUUUUGAACAUUAAAUUCAAUUUCAACAAAAAAAAAAACAAAUAUAGAAUUUUCAUAGAUAUUUGUUAGGUAAAGAAUAGCAUGAAAAAAUAAAAAUGAAAAUUAUAUGAAAACCAUAUAACACCUUUUCAAUUAAUAGUAAUUAUCACACAAUUUUUUUUUUCUCAAAUUUUCAUGUUAUGUGAUGCGUAAAAGUCCUCUAAUUAAGCCAACUUAUACUCAUCUAUUCGAGAAUGCAACAAGGAAAGCAAGAAGAAAAUGGGACAAGGCCACGAAGUUAUAGAAUAACUAUUUUUCCAACUCAUAAUACUUCUACAUAAAGCAUAUAUUAACUCUCAACCUUUCUGUAAAAUAAUAUUCUCAUAUUCACCCUUAAUGAGUUCAUUUCUUUUAAUGGCUAGUGAGCACAUUUAUUAGAUAAUUAAUAGUACCAGCUUUCAAAUUGAAUAGCCCAUGCCACCAUGUGUUCACGUGCUUACCACUUGAUACUUAUUAGAGGGGUUAACUUAGCCCAUGUCAUCUUGCUACUCAAUCAAUAACAUUUAACUUAUUUAAUAAAUGGGUUUGGUUGAUUAAUAAUAGUCAUUUGAUAAUACCAAUUUAUUGCAUGGAUGAAUCACUGAUUUAACUUAUUUAAUAAAUGGGUUUGAUUGAUUACGCAUGAAUUGACACAAUAAUCCAUUAAUAUGGUUUUUAAACUAUUAAACUAGUUAUUACAAUUCUAACUUAUUAAUUUGUUAACAUGAUUAUAAUUACCUAAUGAAUAUUUUUAAGAUUUUAAAUUUCUAAAAAUAUUAUUUUAAAAUAUUUUCUAGUUAUUUUUAAUUUAUAAGUUUAAUUUUUAAAUACUAAUUAAUUAAUUUUAUUAUAAUAAAUUAAUAAAAUAGGAAAUAAAUUAAUUUUUAAAUUUUUAUAAUUUUAUUUAUUGUUUUAAUUAUAAAAUAUUUUUAUCUUUAUAAUGAAAUAUAGAAAAAUUUACCUUAAGUAUUUAAUCUUUUUAAUUAUAUGAUAUUCAUAAUUAAAAAUAUCAAAUGGUUUAAAUUAUGAACAAAUUAUUUUGACAUGAUUAAGUAAACAAGUUAAAUGAGUCAAUUGGAUUGAGUAAUCCCUGAAAACACAACUUGCUUAUUAAAUGGGUUACACAAGUUGACAUGAUUAAUGCAAAUAUGAUUAUGUCUAACACAAAUCUACUAAAAUUUGUGUCAUUCUCAAACCAUACCAAAAUUGCCCCCUCUAAUGGCCAAAUGCUAUUGGAAUAAAAUUUAUUAUUGUGUCAUAGUGGGAGCUAUGUAAAUUAUGCCACUGUAAUCUUUUAAAUUAAUUUUUGUUGAUUAAUUACUUGUAUUUUAUGUUUGAUUAUAUUAUUUAUUGGAUAUUUUAUAGUACCACUCCUUGAUAUAUAUAUAUAUAUUUGACAUCUUUUUUUUUUUAAUGGUAUAUAUAAUUAAAACUUAUAUAAAAUCAAUUCCAAAUUAUGUCAAAGUUUAUGAAACUUGAAUUAGCUUUGGACAUUUUUGACAAUAAUAAUCUAGUAUGUAUCCUUGAUGUUGAAAUCCAUUUUUAUGCCAUGAACCUUAGGGUACCAAUUAAACAAAGCAAUGAGGUAUCCUUGCAAGACAAUACUAAAGUCUCUUUCAUAUGUCCUCUUGGCAAAUUUGAAAGAAUGAUAUGAAUAUCAAAAAAUCACAAAGCUUUUAACAACUUGUUAUAAUUAGAUGCACUUGAGGUUGCAUGACUUCAAAAUUGUUAGCAAAUGUAAUUACAUAUUAUUCAAAAUUAAUUCUUAGUUGAAGCUAUGUAAAGAAAAAGUUACUAAUGAAGACAUGUUAAAUAAAAUAUAUAUUAUUAUUUUUAUAUCUUGAAUGUGCUCCAACAACAAUAAUAAUAAGAACAUAAAUUUAUAACUUAUUUUAAAUUAAUUUUAUAUCUUCUUAUCAUUAAGAAAAAUAAUGAGCUUUUAUUGAAAAAUCAUCCCCUUAUCAAUUAGUUUUCUGUUAUUCCCAAUAGUGGAUGUCACUUGAUUUCAUGAUCUUAGACAAGGAAAUGAAAAAGGUUGUGGAUGCUAUGGUAAAUAUAGUUUCCCACAUCAUAUUGGUCGUAGUCAUUCUCCAUUAAAUUCUUGAAAUGAGAAAGUCACAUUGCACCACAAAAAUGGAAUAACAUAGAGGAAAUCGUAUUUAUAAAUGAUGAAGAUUUUGAACCACAAAAUGUGGAAAAAUGUAACAUAAAAAUGAUUAGCCAAAAUAAAAAGGGUUUAUCAUGUUAGCAUAAAGCCUACCAUAUUAUAAAUGGGGAUUUAUAUGAAAAUAAAAUUUUGAAAAGAAAAUGAAAUCAUAAGGCAUAAAAAGCAACUUAUAACAUAAAGGUUUUGUAUAGAAACUUGAUAUUAACUAAAAAAAAACACACACACACACAUACACACAUAUUCUCUCAUGAUGAGAAGAAUCACAUUUUCGUACCUAAAAGGUAUAGUAGUUCAAAAGAAUUAGAUAUGCAUAUCAAAAUGAUCCUUGUAUGGAUUGAAUAUGGAAGCAAGCCAAAAAAAAAUAAUAAUUUUCAUUUCAUCGCUUCUUCAAAUUAUUUAUAAAUACUUAUAAUUCAUGAAAUAGAAGUGAAUACAUGUAAUUAAGAUCAACAUAUUCAAGAGUCGUGCAAUGUGAUAUUAGAUGACGAUUUACAUGCAUUGCACAAAUUAAAAGAGGUUUUUAUCAAUGGUGAUAUAAUCAAACACAUCUUACUAAUUUCUUUUAUACAUAUCAAUUCAAAAAAUUAAUGAUGUUCAAUAAAAGUUUUUAAGUGAUAAUUUAGUAUAACUAUUCAUAGAGGUAUUAUCAAUUAUAACAUUCAAGAAGUUAAUAUAUACCAAAUUAAAAUACAUCAAUUGAAAAUCCUUUCAAUAUAAAUUAAUGAAAAAAAAUCACACUUAUACGAUUACAGCGGAGAGUAUGUCAUAAAAGAAUGUUAAUAUACUGAAUUUUUUUUUCCUUUAUCUAGAUUUUGUCUGGUUGAGUUUUAUUAAUAAGGUUUUUAACAAAAAUAGCUUUAAUAAAUCAAGAUCUUUCUAAGGAAUUAUAAAAAUAUUAUGAGUUUUUCCUAACAAGAUUUUAAGGAUAGGAUGAACAUCCAUUGAAGAAUUGUAAAUGUAGUAAAUGUGGAUGACUACCACAUUAGAAUUUUUGUCUUCCAUUUAUUCAUUGUCAAAGAUUAAUAUUAAAUAGAAAUUUUGUGAGUAUAUAAAAGUAACUCCUGCAUGCAUCUACGUACGUGUUAUAACAUCCAAGAUAUGACUCUUUUUGCUUCUUUGUAUUCCUUUCUCCAUAUUUUUCUACAAUUUCAUUUUUAUUACAAAAAGAACAAUUUCGAUUUUCAUUUCAUUGCGGCACCAACUUCACUCUUGUUCCCUUGACAUUAAAAUCAAAUCAUCUUGGUUGAAAUAAGACUAUUUCUCUAGCUCCUAAAUUAAAAUUCAAACAAGGCAACUUGUAAAUAAUCUAUAUGAUCAAUUUUUACGUACAUGUGUGGUUAUUGACUUUAUUAUUAUUAUUUUUUUUCUUUGAAGCUUCGAAACAAAACCUAGAAAUGGAGGGAUUGGAUCGAGCAUGAUUGUGGUUGUAGAUGGGCAAUUGGUCACAUCCAUUCCAAAUCAUCCAAAUCAUGAAUGGAAGGUAAUUGAAGUCGGCAAAUGAAUUCCCUCGUGUACAAUUCCUUGGGAGGUUCCUGGAAACACCUUAUCUAUGGUAGGUUUAAGAAAACAUGAUAUUAGCUUUUAUAAUAAUGACCAUGAAAAAACCCAAUAAUUAUAAUAAUAAUAAUAUUAAAUAUUAGCUAAAAGAAGCUCUUUCUAUUGGAAUUUUGGAAUUCAACUGAUUUUUCCUACUUUAUAAAUUCAAUAUGCGGUUGGCAUUUUGUUGUUAUGGUAAUAGUUAUCCAUUUCCACAUUCUCCGUCACUCAAUUCAAUUUGUAUUCUAACUCAAGUGAUACUUGUCCACAAGUUGUUUCAACUCCUUAGUGAAAUGAUGGAAGAUGAGGUGGUCCAAUGAAUGUUGUGGGGUUGACGUUCUCCAUCAAUGCUAUUGCACUUGCAACAUGAAAAUAAACCUCUCACUAUCACUUAAACCAUUAUUUGCAGAUGCAAAUUUUGGAUUAUAACAAAUUCCAUUCAUAUCAACUUUGAUUCAUUUGUUUAUGUCACUGCAUAUGAAAUAAUCUGAGUUGUGGCAACCCGUGUAGGUGUUAUCUGCUUGCUUUGAUUCAUUGAAUUCCCUCGCCCCCCACUACUUCAUUUCCAAUUAGUGGUCCCAUUUUUAGUGUGACAAAUUCUCCACAAAGGAUAUAAAGGUGGCAUGCAAAAAUACAAAUAAAAUGAAUGCCAAGCAUGCGCGGCCAAAUUGGCUGGUUUUAAGGAAUAACAAAAAACAAAAAAAAAAGUAUAUACUUGAUGUAUAUUGAAUAUAAACGUUAUUUUCAAUUCAUACACGAUUUUUUUAUUCUUUUUUUUCUUUUGAAAUUUGAAACUCAUCGAUUCAAAUUUGUUGACUAGUUGUUGGAAUGCAGCGGUGGGCAGAAAAUUCCAAGGGACAGAAGUUGAUAGUGAUGGGUUGAUGAACAUGUCCUCCAUUUCACUGCUGCUGCCAGACAGUGUUCUUUCAUUUUAAGCCAUGAUUGAUCACUGUUAUACUCAACAGCUGCCUUAACUGACCAGACAAUUAGUCUUCAUCUCUUACUCAUCUCAACAAUUAACACUUAGUAUUCAAUUUUAACUUUUCCUUUAGCAUAUGUAAGUUAUGUGUGUGUGUGUUUUUUCUUUUAAAUUCUGCCACUUUUUCUACUUUCAUUUUUGUGUUAAUUUAAUUUCUUUCAAUCAUGCGUGUGUUGAUGGUAUAUACCACAUAGAUACGAGUUGGAACUUUUUCAUAUGAUAUAGAUACGAGUUUUAUUUAUAUUCACAUAUUUAAAUUAAAUCUUGUGAUUUUUUUUUAUCUAUUUUUAAUGAAAAAUUAUUUUACUAAGUAUAAAUAUAGGAUUGGUUUUUGUAACUUACCAAACAAGUAUGCCUUCCUCCUACAAUUUUGAGUAACUGAAUUUGGACGAAAGAGCAAUGUCAGUUGAGUAUUUGGUGGGUGACAAGACCCUCUGCAACAAUAGUUUGGGAAGAAGAGAUUGGAAAAAGUCUUAAUCCAUCUCUUGUUCAAUUUGGAACAAAAGACACUUUCUAGUACCUAAAAUGUUGGUCAAAUUUGUUCUUUCUGCAUUUAAUUGGAUCACUAUUUAAUCCAUCCUUUCAUUAAUACGUGGUUACAACAACGAAAGUGUUAAUGCAAACAUUUUAUAGAAAGAACAUAAAAAUAAAACAAAAUGUAUACGAGGUUUUAAUAUGGUUCGAUCAAUCAUGUUUAACUUCACGGAUGAGAAAAAAUAUUGUAUUACAUGAUAAAGAAUGUUACAAUGAAUAAAAUUAGAUACAACCACUAGGUCCUUUUAUAUCUCCACCUUGAACAUGAACCUUUUUGUUCCACUAGGUGUCUCUUACUCCUUAUCACAUCUUUUUCAUUUCUCUCUUAUAAUUUUUUCCACUUAUAAUUUAUAAAAUAUUUAUAAAAAUAUUUCUACCUUUUUUUAUUCUAUAAAAAUACAAUUACAAUCACAUAUAAAUAUGUAUAUAUAUAUAUAUAUAUAUAUAUAUAUAUAUUAAAUGGAAAUUUAAAAUCCCUUCCUAACACAAUCAUCAUCAUUAUUCUCCUAUUUAAUUAUUGAUCCAAUGCAUUCCUUUAAUUACUAUUAUUAAAAUAAAUAAAUUCUUUAUUUCUUGCUAUAAAUUACUUUUUUAUAGCAUUUAUUCACAUUUUAUGAAACCCUUAAUAAUUUAUAAAAACUUUAUUUAUUCAAGGUAAUAUCAUAUUUAGCAACUAAAAUUCUGUCAAAUUUACUCUUUUAAGCUUUCAACUUGUCAUGAUAUAUUAAUUUUUGGACACCUAGGUCCAUGUGGUUGCUUCAAUGGUUACUUAGAAACCAUGUUACCAAGUCAUAAACAAAAAGCCUAUAGAGAAGAGCGUCUCGCACUGGAAAUUAACUUUAAAUUUUCUUGCCUGGUUUUGAAAAUAAUAAUAAUAUUUUUGUUUAAAAAUAUGGAAUUAAUGACUGCUGGAUGUUGUUAUAAGGUUCCAAUGUUAGUGGAGAUUCAAGUAACCUAAUGCAUCUCAAAUAAGAAACGAUUUAUAUGUUUAAAAAAGAAAAAACAAAAAUGAAAACAUCUACCUGUCCAUGCCACCGAGUUGUCCCAGAUGAACCCAACCCCCAGUCCAACCUACAAGGAACAGAAUUUUAUUUCAUUUUCUGGACCAUUCCAUUUAUAUAUAUAAAAUAUUGAAAGCUCCUUUUGAAUUAUUUUUAUGACAAUUUGAGUUGUCUAAUAAAUAUACAGUGCAAAAAUGGUCCCAAAUUUGGAAGAUUCGCUGAAAAAACAUGCUUAUAUUCGGUGGUGGCUGUAUUGGCAUGCAAUUGAGUGGAUGAUAUUUAAUUUCAACAUAAUUUAGAAAAAAAAAAUAAUUGAAGAUGACGGCUCCACCAUGUACACAUAACAAUUAACCUCAUAGUUUGUGCUAAAUUGGAUCAUCUGAUUUUUUUUAAUUAUUUUAUAAUUUGACAGAAUAGGGUACUUUGUUUUAAAUUUAAUAUUUAGAUUUAUAUAGUAGAAUAAUCUCUAUACUAUUCUCCAUCCAUUCAAUAUUUAUGAUUAGAAAAAAAAUCAUAUAUACUUACCCGACUUGUAAUGACCAAAAAUCUAUUUAUAAAUAAUCGAGACCAUUUAUGAUUAGCUCUCAAUUUUUUUUUUUUUUAUAUGAUACCCGAGAUAACUAUUCGAUAUUAUAGAAUAAUCUAACAAAAACUGGCAUAUCCUUACUUCAACGUCAUAUCUCAAACUACCUACCCGCAUAAGACACUAUCAGGGAUUAAAUUAAUUAAGCAAUAUGUAUAAUAAGGAUAAGAGAAAGAUGUACCUAAACAUAAAUGGAAGUAGAGAAAUCAAAUACAAAAUCUAAGUCCUAGUUUAGCCUGAAAUAAAUUAAAUCAUUACAACCUUAUUACAAUAAGGCUGGACCAAAUCCAAAUCAAACCAGGCGCCCGACUAGUUUAUUUGGAUAUAUACGUCUCAUUCCGAACUGGCCAGCAAUGCAUGUAUUUGCUUUGGAGGGAAAGAGUCUUAUCAUCCCGAUCCCCAUGUUCAAUGAUUUUCAUCCACAGUGAUGGUUGGUCGGGCAUUAAUUCAUAUCCAACUCACUGGAGCCCACUGGCUUUCAAUUAUUUACAUGGAAAUCAAUACUUGAAAUGCCCACGAAUAAGAUACCAACACGAAGUUCAAAACCAUCCAUUUGUUAUCAACACAAGUCGGUUUGACCCACCAUCAAAAUUUUGUUAACUUUCAACAAAUAACAUGGGGUGAUCAAAUACAUCUUUUUUUUUUGUUAUGCACUUUUCGAUCUAUCUUUGGUUGUUGAAAAUUUUGAAAGAAAAUACGGACAAAAAAAAAAGGUUUUUGAAACUAAUAAAUGAUUUUUUUUCACAUCAUUUUUCAAGUUUAUUUAACUUAUUUUUUAUUUAUAAAAAAUUAAAUAAUUUUAAAGUAUAUAAAUAAUUUUAAUUAUAUUUGAUUUUGUUCAAAUAUAAAAUAAAGAAUCAGUUUUAAGUUUUUCUUUUUUUUUUUUAAUAUUUUCCUCCUAUCAAACAAAAUAUUAUUGAUUUGGAUAGUUAAUGAAUAAAUGUUCUACCAUAUGAAUUUGAAUUGAGUUGCUGGGGGAUCAAGUGGUCUGCGUUGGAUUGCAUGUUGUUUCCAAAUUAAGCUACUAUAUAAUGAUACUUUAUAUUGAGUCAUAGACCUAUCAAGAUUGAAAAUUGUACUUCAAGUGUUAAAAUCUUUAGAAAAAUUGUCCUCCAAGUAUUAAUAAUAUUCUCACUUUUAUUCCGAAACUUUCCUCAUAUAAAGCAUUGUAGGCAUCCACAAGUCAUCAAAUUCUUUUUCAUCAUCAUUGCUUGAAUUUUCAUCUUUUAUAAGGUCACAUUCUAUUACCUAGGCAAAAGUUGCAACAUAGUUUAAAUGGUUUUCCUUCUCAUGAAUUUUUUUUAUUAAAAUAGUAAUUUUGUUAAGAAGAGAGAGUUUGUCUCCAUUCAAAUUACCAAUCACAUCUUGUUCUUACGUUAAUAUAAGAAUCAAAGAUUCACACAAAGUUUCUUAUUUUUUUGAGCUUCUGUUUAACCUUUUCUUUUCUUUACUUAAUCUUUCCUAAUAAAUAGAAAUUUUUUCAAAGGUUAAAUGUAAAGUGGUUUUCUUUCCAUCAAUCCAUGUUAUCAAGAAUAAACACAUAAAUAGAAAAAAAAAUUGAUAUUAAAUUUUUACCCACUUUAAUACCAAUUGAAAGUUUGUUAGUGAUUCACAAGACUACCUAGAGUAACAUGUACAAAUAGGUAAUCCAAGUAACAUUUAAACAAAUUUUAAUUUAUCAAGAUUUCUUAGUUGUCAAUUAAUUCAAUCAAGAGUACCAAAGAAUCAAUCCACAUGAUGUGUAUUGGAUAUACGUAGAAAAAAAAAACCUAUGGAAUCAUUUCUAGAUGUAAAAAAAGUACAUGUUAAACAACCUUUAAAAAAAUCUACUAAAUCUUAAGAGAAUAUACACAAUUUUAUUUUAUCUUAAUACACUUGUGUUUAAGGAUCUUGUAAUGAUCAAGAUGUAUACUUUUCUUAACAUCCAUGAUGUGUCAUUUCGCUCUUCUUAGUGUAGGAUCUCAACCAUGCAUUGAGGCUAGCAUAUCAAUGAAUCACUUUGCCUUUCUAGCAAAUGGACUUUCAAAACUCGUUCUUUUAAGGUUUUGAGAGUUUGAAUAUUAUAAUAGAAUAAUGAAAAUAUAUUUCAAUGAUGUACUUAUAAAGAAUUAGCCUCAAAUAUUUUUAAGAAAACCCUAAAUGUUUAAGUUGGAUACUAAUAGUAAAGUGAUAAAUAAUUAAAUAUACAUUUUUUGUUCAUCAUUUUGUUUUUCGAUAAUAUUAUCCAACAUUUCAACAUUCACUAUCCACAUUUCAAAAUGAUUCAAACGGUCUCUACAGUUCGCUUCCCUCUUUUUGUUUGCACUUUUAUUGACCGACUUAGAUUUUUAUACCAUCAUUACUCUAACUAAAGUCCUAAAUAUAUAGUCACUUUAUCAAUCGUAAUAUUUGAAAAACUUAUAGUCAAUAAAACCAUUAAACAAUGGAUAUAUAAUUGGAACAAAAUUAUGAAUCUAAUCUAAAAUAGUAAUCAUUGAUCAUUCAUGUAUCAUAAUUAUGAGAAUACUCAUCAUUACAAAAACUGCUAACUUUUUACAUGCUUCAACUUCUUUAUUAGAAGACAAAAAUUGAUUGGUUGGUUUUUCUUCGUGCUAACUUGGUUGAUCCACUAGUGGAGUCCCGCUAGUGAAGUGAGUCCCACUAGUGAAGUCUUGUGAUAUACUCCUGUCUAUCAUAGGCUUGUAUCUUCAUUUCUUAAUCUUUCUAAAUUGAAUUCUAAUUUUCAUCUUAAACUUGGGAAUGAUUCAAUUUCUUAAACUUAAUCUUUGAUCUUAUUUUACAAUCUCUCAGAGAAAUCUUCAAUGGCAGGUUGUACUAUCACUCAUUUCACUAUGCAUAAGAGAAAGUUAAUCCAAAUGAAAAAAUGGUUCUCAUUGUAAUAGUCAUUCAUGCUAGUAAUUAAAGAUAAUUGCAAAUGAUGGUUAAAAUCAAAGUUUGAAAUGUCAAGAAAUAUCGUUGAAGUAUCAAAUAUCGGUGAUGUUUGAAGUGAUAAUCUCCACCAAAAUCUCAAUUGUAGGAAAAAAUAAAGAAAAUCAACAAAAAUCGCCAAUAUAUCGACCAAGUCAAUAAAAUUGUUGAAGUUUCUUCUGGAUUACAUGCUAUGCAUGGAAAAAAUUCAUAUGUAUUUCAAUGAAAUAUCAACGAUCUUUUAUGAAAAAAACAAUGAAAUUUCAAUGAUUGGGUAAAAAAAUUUUAUAUUUGUCCAAUGGGUUCGAGUCAAAGCAAGCUCAAUCAAUCCAUAUAUGUUAAAUUUUUUUAGUUAUAUCAAAUGGCUCAAAUCCACACUUGUUAACUAUGAUGAUACCACUUUGUUUUCUAUCAAACUUUUGAUGUGGAUUGUGUUGUUACUUACGCUUUAAAAAAAAUGUACAAAAUAUACAAAAAAAAAAAAGGGAUCAAACCUAGGUUCUUGGAUUUGUAUACCAUUAAACCAAAGCUUAUAUAUAUAUAUAUAUAUAUAUUAAUUUUAUUUAUCUUGCUAUCCAUUUUAUAUACUAAUUAAAUACAAAAUAAAUAUAAAUUCAUAAAUAAAAUUAUUAAUAUUUUUAAAUAAAAAAUGUUUAUUUAAAUAUCAUCAUUUCUCUCAUGAUAAUUUAUUAAUUUUUUCAACAAAACAACUUCAAAUGUUUAUUAUUAUUUUUUAUAUCAUUUUUUUUAAUAUUUUCAUAAGUUUUGAUCAAUUUUUGUUUCAUCAAUUUUUUUGGUCAAAAUAUCUAUCAAUGAUAUAUUAAUUCGAAAUAUCGAUAAAAUUCAAAGUCCAAUAUAUUCAUGAUUACGAUAUUUUUAUCAUUAAGAUUUUUUCUACUAAUGUGUGUGGUGUUAUGUGGGGGGAUUUUUUGAUAUAAGAUGGGUGUAAUGAUUAUCUUGUUUUACCAACAAACUUUCUUAUGAGCAUGCUUUUCAAUUAUAUUUUAGUGGAAUGGGAAUAGAGUUGUCUACAUCAUUUUUUGUUGCAGUAUUCCAUCGACUUAGAUCAAAGGUCUCCAAAAUUUCUCUUCAAUUCGCUGAAAUACAACUUAAUUUUUAUGCUAAAACAGUCUCAACCCUAGUAGAAGAAAAUGUCAAUAUGGGAGAAGAUUAGGUGGGAAAAAAAGUCAUUCAUGAUGGCUCAGCCUUGCUACUUUGAAGUUCUGUUCAAAAUCAACCCUUUCAUAUGGGCUUGAAGGACUUUUAGCUUAUCUGUGAAUUUCCCAUAUGAAAAAAACCCGGGAUCUCAUUCUUAUUCUCAAGCCACCUGUAUUUGGUUGGAUGCAUACAGACCUUGGAGGGCCACUCUUACUAUAAUUCCCCGUUAAUUCUUAUCCACAAUAAAAUAAAUUCAUUCCACCCACAAAGUUUGUUUCAACCCAUUUGUGCCAACUAGAUAUAUACGACACAUGAACAUGUAAUUUAUUCCAUAUAUAUAUAUAUAUAUAUAUAUCAACUUGGAUGGUUACAUGUCUUACGAAACAAUCCAAAAAAAAAAAAUCCAAUUUUUUGAUAGCAUGCAUUAGGCAAUUAUAAUUGUCACAAAAUGUUGAUACGAAACCACAAACUAACAUGCUAACCUAUGUAUAUAGCCCUGGUUUGAAUCAUAUUAAAAUUUUAUGAACUUUCAAUCAAAUAUUAAGAGCUUGCAUGUUUGAUUGCCAUGAUUUUGAGAGCAUUAAAAACAAUUUUUUUUAUAUAAAAAAGAAAAAAAAAGAUGCUUAAUGAAAAUUUAAAAAUUUGGAGAUCUACUUUAAGUAAUUUUCAAAUUAGCACUUAAUUAAUAAAUAUUUCUUCUAAUUUUUUUAACCAUACAAGACAUCAUAAAAAACAUGAAACACAUUAUUUUUAUGUAAAUAUUAACUAAUUCUUUGUAAAAACAUUUUUUUUUAUAAUAACAUUAUUAACAAAUAUGCAUUUUUUCAUUAGACGUCAGACUAAAUAAAUUAAAACUUACUCUCUAGGUUUUUUAGUAUAUAAUUAUAGUUGGGAUUUAUAUGUUUUAACCAAGAAUCCAAAGGAUAUCAUAUUGCAAAAGGUGACAGCCCAUAUGCUUUAAAUGCACUGUUGUGCGUGUGUAUACAUGUAUAAUGUAUAUAUGUGUUCCGUUUUUUUUGACAAUACUGCCUAUAAUUGAGGACCCAUUUAUUAAACUUUACAUGUGACUGUGUAGCAUACAAGACAUAAAAUUUCAUUUGACUACACUGCCUGUAACGGAGGACCCAUACAAUAUUAAAUUCAAGUGUGACUAUGAAUAGUAUAUCUGGCAUAAAAAAAAAAAUGAGCUGAAUGGACUGAUUCAAAAGUGGAGGUCCUUCAACUACGUCUCCAUCUUUUCUUCUUCUCUCUUUUUUCCAUUUUUCCCCCUUUUUGUUUUGCAAGGCAUCGAGAAAUGGUCUUAAAACUUUAUGGGAGUUUGAUAGCUUUUGUCAGAAAAUUUAAAAUUUUAAGACAAUUUAUUAUUAAAUUAAAAUAAUUUGUCAUAAAUUUAUCAUGAAUACAGAUGAUCAAUUUUCGAUAUCAUUUUGUAAAUAUUAGGAAUAAGAAAAGCUUUAUGGUAGUUUUUUAACAUACUAUGCUCCCUUAGAAGUUUAGUAAUAAAAUGUUUGAAUAAUAUAUAUAUAUAUAUAUAUAUAUAUAUAUAUAGAAGUUGAUCUACGAUGAUGUUUGCAAGGGUAAGGAGUAGGUGAUGGUUUUGGGCUCAGGAGAAAAAGAAAAUCAGUAUAAAAAUCCAGCUCGAUCCAAGUAUCCUAAUGUGGGCUGUUCGUCGGUCUGGAUUGGGCUGCAAUUGGGCUGCAAUUGGUUUAGCCGUCCUACCUAUUCUGCAGCACCCUCAGUCAGAGGGUAAGAUAUAUUUUUAAAAAUAAAAUAAAAUAAAUGGUCAACGUUGAGUUAGGUAAAAGGUUAAAACUUGUUUAUAAAUUCUUAUUUUUAAUCAUUUCAUUUUGAUAGGAUUUGGUUUUAACCAUAUUCGUGCAUUCACAAAAUUAAAUGAAAGAAAAUCUAACAUAUAAUCGAAUAUUUUAUUUACUAAGUCAAAUCUAAAUUAUAUAUAUAAGAAAACCAUUUUCAUCAUUUGGCACAUGCAAAUACAUAAGAAAACCAUUUUCAUCAUUUGGCACAUGCAAAAACACCUUUUUUUAUUAUAUAUAAGUGAACUAAUAACCAAUCUAAUCUCUAAAUCAUGUUAUCAAGAAAUAUGACCUUAACCAGACACCAUUGGGACCCAUAGGAUAAUAUUGGUUAUCUUGGAAUCCAAUUUUAUGGUUGACUCAAUAUUUCACUAUAGAGAGUCGACUACAUUUUAGUACUCUAUAUAAAUAACAAAUCCACUAUAUAUAGUGUCCUCAUAAAUUGGUGUUAUAAAUCUAAUAAGAUGAAUAUUAUCAACUUUUCAAGAUUACCUCUACCAUUCUUAAGUUACAAAUCUUCUUAUUGUGUAAUUAAUUGACAUGUUAUAGCUCACAAAAAGCUUAUAUCUAUUAGGAUAGAGCUCUUAAAAGCAUUAUAUGAUAUAACAAAUUCAGAAUUUAUUAUUCAUUUAAUAAAGUUUCGGUACACUUUAAUCUAUCUUUAUUCUAUGCAUUGUAUCAUAUGAUUAUUUAAGUCUACAUUUCUUACAUUGUACAUGACUUAAAUGUGUUACGAGUUGCAUGAAAAAUUCAAGUCAUAAGUUCAUUGCAAGUAGAUGAUUUGUUCACAGUAGGUUUAUAGACUUAGGCAACCCUUUUGAGGUUAUAAUACACUACCUCCUAAUUGGAGAGAUGAUUAGUUUUAACCAUCAAGAUGGGUUUUUUCAUGGUGAGUGCACCAGUGUAUAUGGUUACACAUUGGAUAGGACUUACAAUGAGUCAUGACAUAAAGUUAUCGGAUUAUCAUGACUUCAUCAAACUGUUAUAUUGUAUUGUUUCUUAACCUUAAGAAAAUAUUGAGUUUGUGUCAAAGUUAGUAGUGACUUUGACUGACAAGUGAGAUCCUAAAGCGAUCAUAUAUUCCUUAUGGAUUGGCUCGUUGUUGAUUGAAGCUGGUAACAAUAGAUAUCCUCAAUAGAGACACCAUGACAUAUCUCAUAGCAUUGAGACAAUGUGUCCCCUUGGAUGAUCCUAAAAAGACGUGUUCAUGUAAACUAUGGUCAUAGUAGUUCAUUAAGUGGAACUUGACAUAAGCUCUUGAUGAGCUAAGAUAUGCCAAUUGAUCACAUUAUAGGAGUAUUUGGAAGUCAAGGAUAGUAGAGGUAAUCUUGAGAGGCUGGUAGCAUUCACCUUUUUAGAUUAUGGGCACUGGUUUAUAGGGAAACUAUAUACAAUGAAUAAUAGAUCAUGGACGCAAGCACUUAGUGUCUCACUGUUAUUUACAUAGGAUAUUGGAACGCAAUUGAUUCUUUGUAGUGGGAUGUUAAAAGAUAUGUGAUCUAAAAAACUAUGAUCAUAACCUUUCUUUCAGUGGAAAUUUAACAUAUGCUCUUUGGAAUUAAAAUAUGUUAAUUGAUUACAUAAUAAGUAAGAUAUGUAACUCAAAGAUUAGAGAAGUAAUCUUGAUAAGUAAUAACACUAAUUUAUUAUAUUAUAGAUACCUAUUCAUAGGGAGUCUACAUAUAGUGGAUAGUAGAUCAUGAAACUUAGAUCACGAACCUGAGUUUUGUCUCAUCGUUAUUUACAUAGGAUAUUAGAGUGCAAUUGAUUUUCUGUAGUGAGAUAUUAAAUCAACUUCAUAAUUGAAUUUUAAAGAAGUCAAUACUUCCAUGGGUCAUAAUGGUUCUCGCUCGAACUCAUAUGCCUUGAUGAUAUGGUUUAUGAGGAUUGAAUUGACUCAAUAUUCAGUUUUGUGCAUAAAAGACUGUUAGGAAUUUUAGGCUAAUCCAACCUAUGGUAAUUGACCGAAAUUUCUCUAUUGUACCAAAAUACUUAGCCUUUUUACGUAGUAACUCUGGUCAAGAAAAACUAGAGAAAGAGUCACUACGGCUUUUGUAGUAUUCCGGGUAUCGUUCUCAAGGACUGGCUUAUGAAAAUUGUCAAUACUAGAAUAAAUGAAUUGUUUUUUGUUUAAAUCCUUAAGUGAAAAACAAUAUGUGAAUAAUGUGAACUAAGUAAAAGAAAUUGGAUUAAUAAGAGAAAAUGAAUAUUGAUUUUAAAUUCAAUUGAUUCAAGUUUGGGGUUUUCCACAAUCCAACCUAGGGUAUAGAAAUUAUAGAAAACAAGGGUAUUUUAAGUAAUAUGAUCUUAGGGUUUUGGGAUCCUUGGCCACUCGCGAUCAAGUUGGGUUCUAUAACUCAAAAUUGCAUCCGAAACCUAAUUUUUCCUUUUUCAAACAGAUUCCUAAAACCAUCAAAUGAAUGAGAUUGAUUAUCAAUUUAAGAUUUGGCUUUUUAACCCUUCCUACUCCUUAUAGCUUUGUUUAGGGGCAAAUAACGGUAGGGAAAACGAGGAUAACUAAUGAUCAAGAAUUACCAAGAAUCACUAGUAUCAAGUAAUAACCUAUCGUAUUAUUCCCUAAACGAACUCACAAGGAUAGGAUAAAAAAAUAUAAUAAAUUGUCACCCAACCAAUAAUUAAUCUCAUUGUUAUAGUAAUUUACCCAUUGUCCCUAUAGGUUUCCUAGCCCUUAGGUUUUCAUGCUUCAAGCCCCAAGUUGGCUCUUAGCCUUUCAUGGGGGUGAUGUCACAUUCACAAUCCAUAGUAGGGUAAAAAUCCAUAAUUUGAAUCAAAAGAAACUAAAAACAAUAUAUUCAAUAAAGAAGAAGAAGAAAACAAACCAAAGUUCUCGUCUUCUUCCACCUUCAAUGUCAAACUCUCUAGAAAAAAAUCCAAGAUCCCUGGAUCCUAAAACCUAGAAUUGAGAGAGUUUAUAUAAUAUCCUCAAUUACCUAACAUGUGGCACACUCUCAUUGGCCACUUAUUACAAAAUAAUUUCCUAAAAAUGAUUAAAAAAUAAUAAAAUGGCGAUUUCUAGUCAUGUGGGUCCCGCCUAGGGCGGAUGGAGUGCUUUAGAUGCAAUUCCCGAGGUAGAGGAGGCGGAACAUCAAAGUGGCAGUGGGUGAAUUCGAAAUUGGUGUCAUUUCGAAGUGGAUUUCGAAUUCAUAAGUUGAAUAGAUGCAAUUCUCGGGGUAGAGGAGGCGGAACAUCAAAGUGGCAGUGGGUGAAUUCGAAAUUGAUGUCAUUUCGAAUUCAUAAGUUGAAUUUCGAAAUCAUAAGUUGAAUUUCGAAAUCAUUUCGAAAUGACCUUCUAGCUUGGUGCAGUUGUCUUCAAAUGGCCAUAACUUCUUCAUUUCAGCUCCGAUUUGAAAACCGUUUGAAGCGUUGGACUCCUGACUUCCCGAGCUUCGAAACAAUAUAUAGUAUGUAUAUAAUGGACUCCAGAAAGUGCUCCAAAUUUGUCCUCAAAGUCAGAGUAUAUAAUGCCAUCAGAUUUUUGAGUUCUAAAUUUCCAUGCAGCUAAAUCUUGCUUCAUGCCUCAUUCCCCAUGCUUUCUUGCCUUCUUUCUUACUCCAUAAUGGUCAUUUAUCAUCCUCCAACCUCAUGAUAUCCUUGUUUUGCCUUUCUUUACGUUCAAUGAGUCUUGACUCACUUAUUUCCUCAUUUAGCCCUUUCUUGAUCUUUCAAAAUCUAAAGUCAUUCAAUUUGCACAAUUUUCUUCCCUUGAACCUGAGAUAAAUCUCCAAAGUAUAGAUUAAACCCAUGGCUAGGGCCUUAGCAUUGAUUUAGGUCAAGUUGGGUGAUUUGAAUGUCCUUUGGUGCACAAAUCAUAUCGAAUAUGUGCCAUUAGAGCACAUAUUUUGGCUCCAAUCAGUAAUCACCUUAGAAGGGGGGUGAAUAGGGUGAUGGUCUUUUUUAGCAAAUUUAAACAAGUGAAUGUAAGAGACAAUUAUAUGCAAGUAUAUAAUAAGCAAUAUAUAAACAAUUGCAUAUAAAUUAAAGAGUAGAGAAGAGAGAAUGCAAACACAAGAGUUUAUAGUGGUUCGGCGCAACCCGGCCUACAUCCACACUCCUUUAACUUCAAUCCCGAGCUUGAGGUUCCACUAAUUCAAGGCUUCCAAACCAAGCCUUCAAGCAAUACAAUUGGAUUAUGGUUCCAAUUCACCUUCUUGGACUUUUGGCUCCAAGCACCAUUUACACUUCUCAAGAGAUAUCCCUCUCUUGAACAACUUCCUCUCAAAGAUUUACAAAUAAAAGAUCUCACAAAAAUCCUAGCACAAGAACUUUAAGCUCAAAUGAUACAAGUAAAACUAGAAUUGAAAGGUGCACUAAAGAUAUGCAAGUUUUGAAAUAAUGGUGCACUAAAAAAUACUCUUCCAAGGCUCAAAUAUAAUCAAGAAAGAUUUGAGAAGGUUAAACUAUUUAAACAAUGAAGUUUGGAGCCUUUUUAUAGAAGAGAAAAGUCAAACUAGCCGUUUGGGGGUUCGACCGGUUGAUUAGCCGUUAGCAUUAAAUGCUUGGCAGGUGACCGUUAGCCUCAACCGAACCUCGACCGGUCCUCGAUUGGACCUCGACCGGACCUCAACCGGGAAGAGAAUUAACUCGACCGGGAAGAGAAGGUCACUGGGAGAGAGAAAAACUUUUUCGCCUCCCUCGACCGGACGACACAACUGGUCGACCGAUUCCUCAACCGAUUGAACCAGUUGAGCCAUUUUUUAGCUCAACACCCAACCUUUUUCAACUUAAAACCUUUUAACACAAGUUUGAAAAUCAUUUAACAUAAGGUUUUAGUUGAAAACAUGAAAUCAUCCAAUUCUAAAGAUAUUUAAAACAAUAUUACUCUUAGAUGAUUUUGGUGCAUAAAUAAAUAAUGAAAUGCAUUAAAGUCCUAGUGCACCAACAACCUUACAAAGAGAUCUUAUGAAGCUUAGGUCUUGAAAAACUCUUUUCUUUGAGGUAGUCUUCUUCUUCAUGAUUUCUCAUUGGCUUGAUUUGUCUUUGUGAUUACCACUUUGGAAAUCAUCUUGCCUAAUCACACUUGAAAUAUGAUCAUUAGUCUCAACCUUAUUUUGUUAUCAUCAAAAUCAAGAUUAACCAAACUUUGGUUUCACAAAGACAUUUUGGUAAUUAUGUGAGGUUGCAUAGAGAUUAGUGAACAAGGUCUUGAGAUUAGGUUAAUUGAUUAAUUAAAUAAUCCUGUGAGGUUAAUUAAUCAUUUACGACAUAUUUUGAGCUAGAUUUAGUGACUCAAGUCCUUGGUGGGUUUAAGUCACUUAAGUCUAGUUAGGGAACCCUAAAAAUACUCCCUUAUGGGUUAGAAUUUCACCUCUAUAGAAAGAGAGUCAUAGUUUCCUUUCUUCUAAAGAUCCACCCUUUGGAAUGUUAAGAUUGAGUUAGAGUUAUCUGACGAAUUACUAUGAAACCACUUUUCAUCAAAAGGAAUUGAUUUGGGAACAUCCAAAUUGAUGGGAUAAACACAAACAAUGCACAACCAGAUUUUAUCUCCUUUUGUGAGAACCUAAUAGGAAUUAAUCAAAUAGAGCAACAAGAAUUCACCCAAUCAACAAGUAUAUGAACACCAACAAUUUUUAGCGUGGAAAACCUUCUCCAAUGUAAAAAGUAAAAACCACGGGACUUUUAGGCCACUUAAAAACUCCACUAAUAUAAUCAAUGGGUUACACAAUUGUCUCUUGAUAAAACUAGAGGCAUUCAUCAACCAUAUCUCAAGACAAAAUAAUCUUGACGAUUUCAACAACUUUGCAUAAAGACAAUGGAGAAAUCUCACCAAACACAACCACUGUUCUCGAACUGAAAUAUAACUGUUCUGAACUCCAAAUCCAAUCUUCACCGUACAGAAUGAAGAUCAAUGAGUUCAGAACUUGCUCACCAAAAAUCAGCUCAAUCGAACCAUUGAUUAACCUUGAUCGGAGCUCAUGAUCAAAACUGUCCGGAUAGAAAACUUACCAAAACAGAGGCUCUAUUCUAGGAUUGAAAGACGAUCGUCUGGAACUCCAAAUCCGAUCUUCACCGUUCAUAUUGAAUAUCAAUGAGUCAUAAACCUCUCCUCCAAAUUUCAGGUCAAUCGGCCUACAUAUGGGAUUAAACCUUUGAUGAAAUCUGGAUAGUGAAGAAAAACUCAGUUUUUCUCUCUAACUUCAAAAAUGGUGGUUCUCCCCUUAUCUCUCUUUUCUCUUUCUACUCUCUUUUUCUUCUACUUUUGGUAGCUGCAAAAAAAAAAUUGAAGAAGAAAAAGAAGAGGGAUUCUUAUAUAAAGGCCUAAGAGGUCUUAAAUUGGGCUUUUAAUUUGGGUCUUCCACAUGAGGAAAAACCCAUCAAAUCUCUCCAUUUCCAAUUAUAUGGAGGGACUCGCCAUUCCAACGAUUGAACAACAAACUUCAAGUUUCUCCCUUGGUAAAGACUUCAUUAACAUAUUUGAGUCAUUGUGAUCGGUAUGUAUAUUCUCAAGUUCAAACAAGUUGUCAUUGAGAGCAUUUCUCAUCCAAUGAUACCUCACAUCAAUGUGCUUCGAUCUUGCAUGAAUGUUAAAAUUCUUACUAAGGUGAAUGACGAUUUGGUUAUCACAGUAUACUACAUAGCGAUGCUGCUUAAAUCCAAGCUCAUGUAUGAAACGCUUCAUCUACAACAACUCUUUACAUGCUUCUGCUGCUGCAAUGUACUCUACCUCUGUUGUAGAAAGUGCAACACAUUUAUGUAGUCUUGAUUGCCAAGACACAGCACCUCCUAAGAAUAUCAUCAAAUAGCCUGAAGUAUACCUUCUAUUAUCUACAUCCUCUGCCAUGUCUGAAUCAGUGUAGCCAAUAAGUACUGGUUUCUCACUUCCAAAAGUGAGUUUCAACUUGAAAGUGCCUCGCAAAUAUCUCAUAAUCCACUUGACUACCUCCCAAUGUAGUCUUCCUGGAUUAGAGAGAAAACGGCUAACAACACCAACUGCAUAAGCUAUGUCUAGUCUAGUACAUACCAUGACAUACAUCAAACUUCCUACUACUGAGGCAUGCGAAACUCUUCUCAUGUCUUCAUUCCCCUUAUCUAUAAAAGGGUUAUGUCUGCUGCUUAGCUUAAAGUGACUAAUUAGAGGAGAACUAACCAUUUUAGCUUUGCUCAUGUUAAAUCUUUCAAACACCUUUUCAAUAUAUUGCUCCUGUGACAUAUACAACUUCUUGGAUGCUCUAUCUCGCUCAAUUCUAAUACCAUGAAUUUUCUUUGUUGGCCCCAAAUCCUUCAUGGAAAAUGAUCUACUUAACUGCUUCUUCAGCUUAUCAAUUCUUGAAACAUUUCUACCAAUAAUCAAUAUAUCAUCAACAUAGAGCAACAAUAUAACAAAAUCAUCAUCAGAGAAUUUCUGGAUAAAUACACAAUGGUCAGAAGUAGUUUUUCGGUAGCCUUGCUCCCCCAUAACUAAUUCAAACUUCUUAUUCCACUGCCUCGGUGCCUGCUUCAAGCCAUAAAGACUUUUCUUCAACUUACACACAUAAUCCUCUUUUCCUUUUAUUGUGAAACUCUCUGGCUAUUCCAUAUAAAUUUCUUUAUCUAAAUCGUCAUGGAGAACUGCGGUCUUAACAUCCAUCUGCUCAAUCUCCAGAUCAAGACUAGUUGUCAAGCCCAAAACUACACGAAUAGACGACAUCUUAAUAACUGGAGAAAAAAUCUCAUCAAAAUCAAUACUUUUCUUUUGACUGAACCCUUUGACAACCAAUCUAGAUUUGUAACGUGGCUGUGAAGUGUGUUCUUCUUGCUUCACUUUGUAAAUCCACCUGUUCUUCAAAACUCUUUUUCCCUUUGGCAACUUGACAAGCUCAAAAGAAUGAUUCUCAUGCAAUGACUUCAUCUCAUCUUGCAUAACAUCAACUUCAUCUUAUUUUCAUAUCUCAUGACUUCCUCAUAACUUUCAGGUUCUUCCUCAUCAGUUAGUAAUACAUAAUCAUCAACAAAAUACCAUGUGGAAGGAUGUCAGUCUCUGGUAGACCUCUUGAGUGGAAUAUCUGGUGGAACCUCUGCUACUGGUGACUGCUCAUGAACAUCAUCAUCCAUCUUAACAUGUGUGGGAGUUUCAACAUCACCAAUGUCAUGUUGGUCAUCAUGUGUUCAUUUUCAACCUGUGUAGGAAGAUGUGUCAAAGGAAUUGGAUCUAAGUUAAUCAGAUUAUCACUAUACUAAAACUCUAUUGCAUCAGUCUUCUCAAUGUUUUGUAUGGUAUGAUCUUCCAUAAACAUAGCAUCUCAGCUUCUUACAAGCUUUUUCUGCACCGAAUCAUAAAACUUGUAACCAAGCUCAUCCUGACCAUAGCCAAUGAAUACACAAGGUCUUGUCUUAGCAUCAAGCUUAGACCUCUCAUCUUUUGAAAUGUGCACAAAAGCCUUGUAUCCAAAGACGCAUAAGUGAUCAUAAGAGAUUUCAUAAUCUGACCAAAUUCUACCCGGAACAUCAAAUUCUAAAGGAACACAUGGUGUAAGAUUGAGAACAUGUACAACAGUAUUUAAAGCCUCACCCCAAAAGGAUCUUAGCAACUGUGACUGCGAAAGUAAACAUUUCACCCUUUCAACCAAUGUUCUAUUCAUUCUCUCAGCCAAUCCAUUCAAUUGAGGAGUCUUAGGAGGUGUCUUUUGAUGUCGAAUAUCAUGUUGUUUACAAUACUCAUCAAAAGGACCAGAAUACUCACCCCUAUUAUUAGUUCGGAUGCAUUUCAAUUUUUCACCAGAUUGUCUCUCAACAAGAGCAUGAAAUUGUUUAAACACCUCUAACACUUGGUCUUUUGUUUUCAAGGUAUACACCCAAAUCUUUCUUGGAUGAUCAUCUAUAAAAGUCACAAAUUAUAGAGAUCCACCAAGUGUUUUUG